UGCCCUACAGGAAAAUGACUCAGGCACUUUGGACACGGUGGGCGCUGUGGUUGUGGACCACGAAGGGAAUGUUGCUGCUGCUGUCUCCAGUGGAGGCUUGGCCUUGAAACAUCCAGGAAGAGUUGGGCAGGUAAUUAAUUACAGGAUUCAUACACUAGUUUUCCAAAAUGAAACAUGAAAUUUUCUAGUUCACAAUUUUUAAACCACUAGGGAUAUAUUUUUCCCAUUAGGAAAAGUAAUCAUUAUUCUUUAACUUUUGUCUAAUAUAAAUUAAAAAAAACUUUUCAAAAUAAUUUCUUAAAAAAAUUCUGUCUAGUAUUGAUAGGGUUCUUUCUGAUCUUUACAACUGGUAAUCCUAGUUUUACUACUUUCAAUGGGCUGAGUACUGACCUGAAUAUUUAGUAGAUAUUUAAUAGAUGUGUGUUGAUUUUCAUUGUCAAUUUUGUGUGUGUAUAUGUGUGUGUGUGUGUGUAUCACUCUCUUUAAGACCAAGCUUUAUUUGCUUGCUUUUUAGUUAAAAAAAUGAUUUUAGAGUUAUAUUUUUUUAUUUUUUCCAUUCAAGUAAUCGUAACAUUUUGUUUGACAUUCUACAUCUCUCUUCUGAUUAAUCAUUUUAGGCAUUUUGUAGAAUAACUAGAAUUUCAGGUCACUAACACAUGAAAUGUAGAAAUGAGGAUGGUCUGAUUUGUGUGACAUUUGCUUAUUUCCAGAUCUCUUACAUCUUCUUCACCCCAUCCUCCCCAUUUCCAACCUUCAGUUUUAUAUUGAGAAUAAAAUUUAAAAAUUCAUUUGAAUGUUCUAAGCAUUCUGAGUAUAACCAAUUUGGCCUAUUACUUAGGGGCUUAAUUAAUAAGUGUUGAGUAUUGAGUGAACAAAUUAAUUAUUCUCAUGGAGUCUUUUAAACUAGUUGCGUGGAGGUAUUUUUUAAAACUAAGUAUUUGGAUUUUGUCUUGUGUAUGCAGUAUGGCUUAUCAUGCUGUGUGCCCCUCACAUAUGAGAAAGAGUCAGUGUCACAGUUGCUAUGGUUAUGAUGGUUAGUGAUACUUGAAGCAGUAUGUCUGAUUCAGGGAAGAUACCUUUGCAAAGCCCCUAGGAAUAUUCCUUGAUCUUCCCUUUAUGUGGACAAGUCACUUACAGUUCAAUACUAGGGGGAAGUGGAAGGGAAGAGUAAUUACUUUUGUGCUACACUUUGCCUACCAUACAGGGGACUUAUGGAGAAUGAUUACCCAACAGUGCUAUGAACUCACGACAGAAGUCUUUGUAUAUCCACAGUAUUUUUCCACAUUAUAUAACCUGUGUAUUUUUCAAGUUUGGAAUAAUAUACUCAAGCUUGGCAUAUCGUAUUUGGAUGCCCUCGUGGAGGAGAGAGAAAAGCCAACAGAGUUGCCUUCAUUGCCUAGUAAUUCCCAUGAUUUUCUCAUUGUUUUCUGUUUGUUUUAGUUAGCAAGUAGCAAUGACAGAACCAAAGAUAGUUCUGGACUAUGUUACCAGACUAUAACAUUUAAAAAUCUUGAAGCCAUUCUACUACCACACAUGGGACUAUUCUGGAAAAAGAAUACUUCUGUAAAAUUUAUGUGUUUAUUUGCUCCACUUGGCUAAUUUAUGAAUAUACAACUGUGAGAGCUGAACAAAAAAUCAGAAAAGGACAUGGGGGAAAGGAGUCAAGGUACUUACAGGAGACGAAGCUGUUUAAUUGGAUUAUAUUGCUGGAUAAAGGAGAUGUGAUUAGCCUGAAAAUAUGAAUCAUCAGAUGAGAGGUAAAGAAGAGUUUUUCACAGAAUGAAACAAAAUACAAAAGCAAAUUGUAUCAAAGGUUAAUUAUUUUUUCAAAAUGUGUUGAAUUCAGUGCACUUUAAAUGCUUAAAUUAACUACUUAAAAUUUUAGCAUAUUACCCUGUACUGAAAGCACUGCAGAUGAAAAAAUAGCAAUUUGGAUUAGAACUUCCUUCUUUAGUUCACUAUAAUGAUUACACUCACAAUUUGGACACAAGAAAGGAAUUAUUACAUUCCACUCCCACUUCCCCUCAUGUCACCCCAUAUAAACACACAAUGAGUUUAGUGGGUAAGAGUAUGGACUUUAAAUUCAGGUAAACCUUUAUUCUAAUCCCAUCUCUCACUUUCCUUUCUCCAUACCUUGAGUAAAUUACUCAACAUCUCUAAGCUCCACUCUCUCUAAGUGUAAAAUGAGGAUUCUAGCUACCUUACCAAGUACUAGAAGAUUAUAUGAUGUAACACUGUAAAACUGUGUAUCAUAGCCCCUAGUUAUAACAUCCAUAGCUACUGUUUAUGAAGCACUUGCUUUGUGUAAUAGGUUGUUAAUUUAUGUGAUCCUUUGGCAAAACUAUGGUAGUGCAUAUUUUUAUCAUCUUUAUUUUAUAGAAGGAGAAACAAUGGCUGUUUAGUAAUAAUAAUCACUUAUAUGACCUACUUUUACUCCACAAUAAUAACCUUAAUAAAAUUUUACUACCAGAAAGAAGGAAACUUUUAAAAAUUUUAUUUUAAAGUCCUGCUUUUGAUGUGUUUUCAGCAAAGAAGUAGAUAAGAGAGAGAUAACAUCUUGUUCUUUCUCUCAUCUUACCUGCGACUGCCUCAGCCUAACCAAUUUCAGAAGGUUAAGAAGGAAGACAACUCGAAUUCAUGAUAUUAAGGGAGGGCAUUCUAAAGGGAAUUUGCUUAGAAGAAACAGAGGGAAGCAUAAAUAUUCUUACUUUCCUAGGGAGACGACUUCCACUGGCUUACUAAGGGGUAUUUUUGUAGAUUUUUGUACUAGUUUUUUUUUUUUUUUUUUUGAGUGCAGACUCCUGGUCAAAGUAAUUGAGAGGAAUGGAAAUGAUGAUGGGAAAAUGUUCAGAGUUUUCAAUGAAGAAUGAUGAACCUUUCCACUAGGGUCUUGUGUUCUCUGAGACUUUGUCUGCCCUAGCACCUGCUGCAAAGAGUACCAGUUGAAUGAUUACUGUACAAAUCUGCUAGUAUUAUUCUGAACUCCAUGUGCUAAAUCACUUCUAAAGGGCUUUCAGUUGCCACACUGGCCCAGCAGUUUUGGGAAAUGAAACUAAGGCAUGUAUUUUAGAAUCAUAGUGUUUUCAAAGCCUGUAACAGAUUUCCCACUGUUUGUCAUAUUUGAAGUGUCCUGUUGAGUUCUUGGUUCUAUUUUUUUUUUUAACAAGACUUUUGUUAGUAAAAACUAGAAAGGGCAACUGUAGGUCACAUGAAUAAAUAUCCUGGAUUCUGAAUUAUUUCUCAAGAAAAGUGAUUAAGAGAGGAGGGGAGGUUGUUUGUCUGAAAAUCUUGGGGAAUAGCUCACAAUUAUAUGGAAGUUAAGGUAUUUCCAGAAAUCAGAACCAAGACUAGUAGAUAGAAGUUAUAAUCAAGCUAAUCAAGCAGAUAUUUGUUCAAUCCAAGGAUUCCAUCAGUGGAAAAUGUCCAAUAGGGGAAUAUGUUGUCACAUUAGGUAGUUAGAUCCUAUGCCUGGGAUGUUUCCUACUCUGGGUAGAAUAUUGGAGCAACUGAGUUGUAAGGUCCUUGUGAAAAAUAACAGAAUAUCAAAGUAAGCUGAAAUCUUCCUGGCCACCAGUCCCAGUCUUAGCCUAGUCCUUAGAAGUGAGUUCCCAGAAGAUAACAGUACUUUUCAUGGGAGUAUCUUUUUCUCUAUCAGUGACAGUGAAUACUGAAUGUAUUAUUGUAACUUGCUUUUUUUUAAAAUUCAACAAUAUGUUUGGAGAUAUUUCCAUAUCCAUUCCUAAAGAUUUUUUAAAAUCUACUUGUUUUAUUUUUAACCUGUGCAACAAAUUCCAUGUAUUUCUCUGCCAAAGUUUAUUUAGCCUUUCUUUAUGGAUAGAAAUUUAGUUUUUUUUUCCCCUGUAUUUCAUUCUUACUAAGCAUGUGGUAAUGAACUCGUUGAGUUGGCUCCUUGUAUUUUUGCAAUAGCUAGCCAAGGGUUUUUACUAAUUCUCUUCUGAGGAGUGAAAAAGUUAUUAGUUAUGAGUCCCCUCUCAAAGACAGAGAAGUCAUUGUGGAUGUUGUGGUGAUGAAUGUAGACAUUCUGGAUAGGAUUAUUGGAAACAAAAUAGAAAUGAUUGUUAAAAUCUUUUAUAUAAAUCAUAAUAGUUUACUGUGUUCCUGGUCAUUUCAGACUGAUAAUCUGUUCUACCACCUAACAAAGUGAUUAGCUCAAACAGGCCUUUUUCCUUUCUUUCUUUUCAUAUGGCAGAAUCUAACACAGUGAUGAACAUAUACUGAGCCCUGUGGUAUAGAGUGGUGUGAAGUUCCUAUUGUGCUACCCAAAUGGAGGCAUGGAAUAGGACUCCUGAAACAGGAUUUCCUAGACAGUGGUUAGAAGGAUUAUCUGCAUUUCUGUACUCUAAGGCCAUGUCUUCUCUCAGACACUGAACCAGACAGAAUCUCUAGAAAUUAGGGUUCUUAUCAGCAAGUUGCCCAAGUAAUUCAACAUGCACUGAGUUUAAAAACCACCUGUUUUAAGGCAACCACACUGAUUUCAAGAGACCAGAAGAGCAACUAGCUAACGAACUACAAAAGGAAAAAGUAUUUUCAGGGAAGGAAUACAUUGCUGAUGAGACCAAAAAGACUGUAUUUUGCUAUUUUCUGAGAAUGUUUGGAUAGGUAGAAUAGCUGCAAAUGUAUUAUUUAUUUUAAUUAAUUAAUUAGUGUUAUUUUUUGAUUUGCAUAUAAUAUUUGUACAUAUUUAUGAGGUAUAACAUGAUAUUUUGAUUUAUGUAUACUCUGGGGUUAUCAAAGACUGAGGAGAAUAGGGAGGAGAUGGGUGGGGAGAGGUUGGUAAACAAGUACCAUAUUACAGUUAGAGAGGAAGAAUAACUUAUGGUGUUCUGUGACACAGUGGAAGAAAUAUAAUUAAUACUAUUGUAUUGUAUAUCUCAAAACAGAAGAAAAUGUGGUUUUGAGAGUGUUAAAACCAUUGCAUAGUUUGCAUAGACUCUUUGGCAUUAUCAUUAAGUUGUUCUACAUCAUUAGUAAACCAGACUUUAUUAGAUGGGCAUGACUUUGUUUCUUCUGUUGAAAGCUGAUAAUUACAUAUAAUAUUCCUGAAAUAUUAUAUCUCCCCAUUUCCUUUUUUCCUAGGCUGCUCUUUAUGGAUGUGGCUGCUGGGCUGAAAAUACUGGAGUUCAUAAUCCCUACUCCACAGCUGUGAGUACCUCAGGUAUUUGCUGAUUUCAUGACCAUUUUUCAUAACUGCAACCCUGUCAGUCAUUUAAUGACUAAAAGCAAUAUUUUUAGGGAAACAUAAAAUAUGUUGUAAGACACUACAUAUACAAAAGCUUUGAUGUGUGUAAAAAGAUCUUGAGUUUUGGGGAGGUUUUAAGGAUUGUUUAGUAUCACAGUGUAAAUGGUUUGCUAACAUUUUUAGUACAACUCUGGAGUUAAGUAUAACUUAAUUAUUUGUAUAUCAAUGUAUUUUUUUCUGUAAUAGCCCACAACAGUGUCAAAUGGAUGAAAAUGAUAUAUAAACACCAAAUAAUUUACAAAAUUAACAGAUCUUUUAUUGUAUUUAAAAUUUUUUUUAGUUGUCGAUGGACUUUUAUUUUGUUUAUUUAUAUGCAGUGCUGAGAAUUGAAGCCAGUGCCUCACACAUACUAGGCAUGCUUUCUACCACUGAGCUAUAACCCCAGCCAGCAAGAGAUAAUCUCUUGAGUAAAAUGUUGACAUAAAACAUAAAAGGUUAUAUUUCAAAAUGUAUAGUUUAUAACACCACUAUUCCUCUCACUACACUUUUAAUAAAAUAUAGACUCUCUUUUUGUGCUAUAUUAGAAAGUCAUUAUUAUUUUAUGAGAGAGAGAGAGAGAGAGAGUGUGUGUGUGUGUGUGUGUGUAGGGGUGGGAAAUAGGGGGCUUCAGGGAGUUUUAAUAGGCAGAACGAUUUUCUAUUUCCAAAUUUUUAUAACACUUGUACUAGAUAUAUUCAAUAGCUUUUCUUUUUAUAUGGUGAUGCUGCCGCUUAAAAUUAUAUUAGUUCCUCGCAUUACCACGUUAUCCUUCAAGUUAUAGUCCUGUUCUUUUCUCCCCAGUAUUCUCAGCUUUAUCAGCUAGGUGGACAGAUGUGACUGCUUUCACUUCCUUUUUUUUUUUUCUUCUAUUUCUUUCCACAUUGAUUUCUGCCCAACAUAGUGAUAAACUGCCCACUGGGUCCAGUAGCCCACCUCUGCUUACUGCUUAUUCUUUCUGUGGUCUUUGAUGCAGGUAUUGCCUGUAGCAUAGAACCUGAAACUCUCUUGGUUUGUUCUACUUCUCUGACCUGCUGCACUUUGGCCUUCUUCACAGAUUCUUCUUUUUAGUCCUUCUUCGAUAAUAAUCUCAACUUGGUCCUCUACUAGAGUCUCACUUCUCCCCUCUUGAUGACUUAUUGUUACUAUAGUUGUUCUCAUAAUUUCAGUUGGUCUCUCUUUGAUAUUGUCUUCCAUAUCUGUGUCUAUUCUGGACAUUACUCUUGUUUUUUUUUUUGGGGGGGGGUGUUGUACCAGGGACUGAACUCAGGGGCACUUGGCCACUAAGUCACAUUCCCAGCCCUAGUUUGUAUUUUAUUUAGAGACAGGGUCUCACUUAGUUGCUUUGUACCUCAAUUUAAUGAGGCUGGCUUUGAACUUGUGAUCUUCCUACCUCAGCCUCUUGAGCCGCUGAGAUUAUAGUUGUGCACCACUGUGCCUGGUAUGGACAUUACUAUUGAAGUCCACAUGAGUUCUUUCAUGAGUCCUUCUUGUUGUACAUGCCCCUAUGAAUAUCAUAUAUGUAUGUCAGACUCAGUAGGUUGAACAGAACAACUUAUUCUUUAUCCUCAACCCAUGGCCACCUUUUACCUGAAUUUCCUAGCUUUUUUAUUGCCCCUUACUAACCUAUUCUUUGCUUAGCUUGAAAUCUUGCCACAAUUCUCAAGUUUGUUGCUUCUUUCCAUUUCUACUCACCUGAUCCUGCUAUUUCAGACCUGUGUUCCCCUGCCCACCUGUUGUGGCUGCCUGCUGACUUCGCUUCUUUCCUUGCAUCAGUGAAACAAUAAGAUUAUGAGCCACUGGCCUACUGGGUGAAGUUUGGACACAAUGUAAUGUUGAAUUUAAACCAUUCUAAUAUAAUUGGGAAAAAUUUUGUUUUUAGUCUUUUAUUUAGAGAAGAUAAGCAGAAUGUAAUGAGUUAAUUUCUAAAUUUAAUAUUAAUGGAAUCUGAAAAUCUUGAUGUAUAGUAUUUAUGAAUUAGCCAGUGUACACAAUUAAGUUUGCUCCUGUGUGUAUGGAAAAUAGUUGAAUGUGAAAAAACUGUAGUCUAAAACAUAUAAUUCCUUGUUUCAUUUUUUAUUUUCUCAAAGAGAUUUUAGUUGGUAUCAUAUAUUGUGUCGAUUUUUUUUUUUGGUUAAUAUGUAUUUCUGUAAGUUAAGUUUAUUGUCUAGAUGUUGCUCUUAUAUAUAGGUGUGAGGAACAGAAGUAUAUUUUAAAUCAAGAUUCUGAGUACCUGCCUGGGCCACUUUGAGAUUACAUUCCCUUGAGUUUAUGUACCUCCAUAGCCCAACACACUUUUUAAAAAUUAGUGUCAUAGAAGUUGGAUAAAAGCUUACUUUGUCAAUUUAAUUCUAUUAAGAGGAGUGUAAUUUAAAGCUAAAAUUAUAAAAAUGAGGUCUUUCCUUUUUUGUCUUGGAUAUUUUCUCAUUUGUCCAACUGCAUUAGUUGAGAUAGUUCCAUAUGACUAAAGAUACUUUUGAGUUACCAGAUUAUGACAUCCAGAGUAGCCUUUUAACUUUGAUAUCCAGCUUAUCAUAUUGCAUCUUUGCAGGACUGGUGAGACAUUAGGGUCAUGUGGUUAUGCUCAGAAUUCUCUAUCCCUGGGAGUUGAUGCCUAUAUUAAAGGCCUCAACUGAUAAUUGCUGUCUGCCUUUGCAAAUAGCCUCCCAGGCCGGCAUCACCAUAGCAACUGGGCCAUCUUGACCUGUACCUUUGCACAGGCAGUUCACAGGAGAGUGCAGACAUGAGAAAGUCAGAGGCCAUGAUUCAAAUCAUCAUUCCCCACAAAGACUUGUGCCUCAGACUGUUGUAGAAAAUCCAGAAAACUGAUCAGCAUUUUGGGUUUAUGUAUCUUGGAAAGUGAUAAUUGAAAAGCAGGAUAAGCAGGAUAGGACUCUAUUGAGGCCAGAAAGGUGAUUUGGUCAUUAGCUUAGGGGAUAAACUCCACCAUCUUUUUCUCAUUGUUGGUUGGGAAGGAAUGAGUUGAGGGAUAGAGUGACAGGAGCUGAUCUUGUAAACUCUUGACUAAUGUUCUGGUGUCAAGGGAAUUUGCCUCAUUAGGGAUGGAGCAGGGCAAACAACUUGGUUCUUGUCCAGAUUUACUAACUGUCGAACCUGAGCAGGGCAUUAUUUGUACAAUAAUGUGCAAUAUUAUUUGCACAUUAUUUGGAAUAAUAUCUACCAGUGCUGUGAGAACUGAAUGAGAUGACAUAUGGAAGAUACUUAGUGUACGUCUUCAUCCAGUGUUCCAUUGAAUCUCAGUCACUAUCUUUUAUAAAACACACUAUUAUUUUUAUACCUCUAAGAAAAGGAAAAAUGCAGCCAGUUGAAGCAUGACACACUGCUUUCUCAUCACUUAAUUUUUUAAAAUAUUUUUUAUACCUUUAUUUUUAUAUGGUGUUGAGGAUUGAACACAGUGCCUCCACAUGCUAGGCAAGCACUCUAUCAUUGAGCUACAACCACAGCCCCUCAUAUCUUAAUUUUUGGUUGUUACUUUAUAAGUAAGUAUAGAAUUGGGUAAUGAGAAUUUUUUACUUCACUGAUAAUAAAUUCACACCCCAUUGCUAUUUCCAUGCCUUCCUACAUACAUAAUCAUUUUAAAUUUCAGUUCUAUAUCAUACUGUAAUCAUUUGAAACACAUCUUAAAUAGCAAGUAAACUGAACUCAUGUAGUUCUAACAUGGAACAUACUGAACGGUCAACCAACAGGAACAUGAGGCAGUGGCAACUCCAUUACCACCGCAGCCCAUAGGCAGCAUGGGAGGAUGCCAUCAAUUGUAAUGAACUCCUGAUACCAGAACUUUUAAAUAUGAAAAAAGUGGAAUUUGGAAUUGACAGUCUAAAGAUUUUCUUAUUUUCAGCUUUUUGUGUGUGUGUGAAAAUGAAAAAACGAUUCAGGCCCUUUCAAAAGCAGAAAGAUAAAUGCUUGAGGAAAGAAGGGCCAUGGAUAUAUUUGUGUCUCCUAUGUGUCUGGCACAGAACCUUGCACAUGGUAAAGAGUCUAAUAUACAAAUAAAAAUUACUAAAUGCAUGUGUGAUUCCAACCUCUUCUAGGAUGCUUACUUUUUCUAAAAGAUUAUGUACCAUAGAAUUUUUAAAAAUAGCAUUUAAAAUAUGAUUCAAUUUUUCCAACUUUGUAUUCACACAUAAUUUUUCAGUAGCACAUCAGAUACAUGCUCUAAGAUAACAUCUGUGUUUUGUCUCUGGCUAUGGAAAGGAAGAGCAAAUAAUCAGGAUUAGAAGAUCAGAGGAGGAAAAAAUCAGAUUAAAUUUAUGCUCUGGUUGACCUUAAUUUUGGUCUUCUGUUAUUUGUCCCUCCCUCUCUCCCAUCCUUCCUUCCUUCCUUCCUUCCUUCCUUCCUUCCUUCCUUCCUUCCUUCCUUCCUUCCUUCCUUCCCUUAAAGAGAAAUAGUGAGUCCAGAGGGUAUUAAUGGUAUCUGAUUGGAGGUCAAAAGAUGUAAGCUUCAAUCUGUUUCUUAAAGGGUUCUGAUGUGAAGACAGAUAGGCUACCUGAUUUCUGUUACGAGGCCCAGUGAUUUAUGAUUUUCUAGGUCCUUGGCUUUUUUAGGUCUUGGUUCUGGACAGUCCUAGGAACCUGAGGGCUGUGAGAACUAUUACUGUGAUUACUAGGAGUUGUUUUAGAGCUGAAUGGGAUUUUUAAAAAUGCAAAAAUUAAGAACAACCUUAUACCUUAAUAUUUUUGAGCUCAUGCUUUAGGUCUUCUACUGAAGGACUGGAAGAGUUUUUUUUUUUUUUAGUUUCUCAAUAUAAGGAGCUACCAAAUGUCUCUUGCUCCUCUAUGGAAGAUUGUUCAAUGGGUCUGUGCUCCAAAACUCCCUCAAGGGACUUUUCUCAGAAGGGGAAGAGGCACCUUCUUGUGAGAGGGAAUUUAAAUGAAAGCAGGAGCCAACAUGAGAGUGUUGCUGAGAUGUCUAUAAGUGCUAUGUGGUCACUGCUUUUUAGGGAUGGGGAGAAGACAGUCAGGAAACCAUACUUCAGCUUCUUUCUCUGUGCAAAAGGCACCAUUGGUGAAUAAAAGCCUAAUAAUACUCAGGACUCUGUGCAUGUCACCUAGGGAUUCAUUUUUCCUUCUGGUUCUUUACACAUUUCUUAACAUCUUCAAGGUGAAACUUCAAGGAAUUGUCAGCACUUGAGAUUUGUUAUUUUUUCUAGUUUCUUCAUUUACUCCCCAGUCCCUGUUUUUUUUGUACUUGGGGUUGAACCCAAGGGCAAUUAACCACUGAGCUACAUCCUUAGCCCUUCUUAUUUUUUAUUUUGAGACACGGCCUUGUUAAGUUGCUGAGGUUGGCUUUGAACUUUCCAUAUUCCUGCCUCACCCACCUGAGCUGCUGGGAUUACAGGCAUGAACCACCAUGCCCGGCUUCAUUUAUUAUUUUUUUGUGGGGGCAGGGUACCAGAGCUUGAACUAAGGGACAUUCGACCACUGAGCAACAUCCUUAGGCCUAUUUUGUAUUUAUAUUUUAUUUAGAGUCUCACUGAGUUGCUUAUCACCUUGCUUUUGCUAAGGCUGGCUUUGAACUCACGAUCCUCCUGCCUCAGCCUCCUGAGCCUCUGGGAUUACAGGUGUGUGUCACUGUGCCUGUCUGUUUAUUCUUUUCUUUUUUUUUUUGGUACUGGGAUUGAACUCAGGGGCACUCGGCCACUGAUUCAUAUCCUCAGCUCUAUUUUGUAUUUUAUUUAGAGACAGGGUCUCACUGAGUUGUUUAGCACCUCGCUUUUUACUGAGACUGGCUUUGAACUCAUGAUCCUCCUGCCUCAGCCUCCUGAGCCGAUGGAAUUACAGGCAUGCGCUACCGCGCCCGGCUUUAUUUAUUCUUAUAACUACUUUAGUCAGGCCUUCUCCUCGACCACUCCACCAGUCUUCUCUUGUCAAGAUUAACAGUUAGCUUUCAAAAUCCAGUUCAUUUCUUAGUCCUGUGAAUACCAUUUGACAGAGUUGUUUGAAUGAUUUGCUUCUCCUGAAAAUACUGUUCUUGAUAGACUUCAGGGGGCACACUUUCCUGGUAUUCUACCUCUCUGGCUACUCAUUAUAAGUAUCCUUUUUUACUGUUUUUCAUCUCUUUUACUGCUUUGUGUUGCAGUGCCCCAAGGACUAGUGGUCCCUGAACCUCUUCCUUCUUUGUAUAUGUACUCCCAUGGUCUGUCAUUUAAUCUAAUGGUUAAGUAUCACCUAUAUAUGCUGACAACUCCCAUAUUUUUAUCUUCAAUUUGGGCCUCUCCCUAGAACUUAGUUAUAAUUCAACUUCUUGUAAAAAGUCUUCACUCAUAUUUCUAAUGAACAUCUCAAAUUUAGCAUGUCCAAUAUGAGCUCUUGAUAUUGCUCACCUCUCCCUCUCAAAAACGUGUUCUCUUGAAAUGUUUUCCACACAACAUGUGGCAACUUCGUCGUCCCAGUAACUCCCAGUAACUUCCAGUAAAACCUUGGAGCCAUCGUUGGUCCUCUUUUUAUCUCACUCUCACCUAAUCUCUGGCUAAAUAUAUUUUAAACAAAUCACUUCUUAGCAUCUGCGCUGCUACUAACAGAUCCAAGAUGCUGUUGCCUCUUCUCUGGCCUAUGGCAGUAAUACCCUUGCUGUUCUUUUGCUUUUUGCUUAAUCUUCCUUUAUUCAAUUCUCAACAUGAAGGUUUUUGAUCACCCUAACUGAAAUUAUGUCUUUCUCUCCUUUGAACUGUCCAAUUGCUUCCCAUCUUUUUUUUUAAAUUUUUUUUAGUUGUAGAUGAACACAUAUCUUUAUUUAUUUAUUUUUAAUGUGGUGCUGAGGAUCUAACCCAGUGCUUUAUAUGUGCUAGGCAAGCCUUUACCACUGAGCCGCAACCCCCUUCCCCCUUCCCAUCUUAUUCAAUGGAAAAGCUAAAGUCCUUAUUAAGGAUCCAACUUCCCUUCAUAUUUCAGCUCUUACCUUGUUCUUCCUUUGUUCAUUCAAUUCCAGCUGUGAUGGUUGCCUUGCUUUAUUCCAAACAUGCCAUAUACAUUCCCACCUAAGGACCUGUGCCUGAGUUGCUUUCUAUCCUUUAACUCUCUACCCUUAGGAACUCAUACCUCAGCCUCCACUCUUUAAGUCUUUAUUCACAUGAUUUGAUUUGUUGCUGAGAUCUUCUUUGACCAUCCUUUAAUAAACAUGUAACUGUUCUCCUUCAAUGUUUUAUUUUGUCCAUUGUAUGUAUCAUCAUCUAACAUUUUAUAUCUUAUAUCUUUGUUUUCUAUUCACUCUAAAUUCCAUAGAGUCAGGGUUUCCAACAGUUUUGUUUACUGAUGUGCAAAUGGUGCUCAUCACGUAUAAUUCCUGAUGUUGGUUGAAUGAAUGAAUGUGAAUGAGAAAUAAAUACAUUGGGCUGGGAUGAGGGAGGCAAGCUCAGGUGAGUCAGGGCGGAGAGAAAGGUAAGUGAGGGGUUGGGAGUGAUACAUUCUAACGACAGCAGAGGAUGCCUGAGGAAGCUGCACAAUGAUAAAGUAUCUGGAGUUUAAUUUAAUAUCAUAGAUGAUAGUCUCUGGAAGACUUUAAGUAACUUUUUUGUAUUAUAUGGGGAUCCUUUUGAAUUGGAGGAUGCUUAUACUGUUAGAAGCACAUGAAGAUAGAUGUUUAAUUUCUCAGGUUGUUCUGGAAAAAUGAGCAAUGAUUCAGACAGUAAGAAGCAAGACUAGUCAAGAAGUAAAAGUACACAGCUGUUAAUCCUGUUGGUAGAAUCCAGACUCUUCAGCCCUCUCUGGUUCUUUAAUCUGCCUUAUUAGGAAGUGCUAUUUCUCUCUACAGGGGUGACACUUGGCUUCUUAGAAGCUUCUUGUACUUAUGAAAUAAAAAGCUUCCAUAAGCUUGUCAUAUUUGUCAGGCUUCUUAGAAUACUCGGGUUAAGGAACAGCCACUUACGCUAAAAUAAUUUGAGACACAAUAUGUAGAAUUGGAAAUAAUGCCGAGAAAUCUUUUGUGAAUUAUGACUUCUAGAUGUGAGUGUAGAUAAAACCUUCAUACUUGUAAACAUCAUCAUCUUAAAAGCAGUUGACUUUUUGGUCUGUUUUGUUAUUGGGGGAGGGGAAAGAUACCAUUCAUGUAUAGAUAGCAGAGUAUAUGAACUGCCAGCACAUUUCCAAGAAAUAAAGUAAUUAUCUGGGUUGGGAAUUCUAUUCUGAGACUGUUGCAUACUGUUAAUUAGGUCACUUCAUAUCUGAUGAACUAUUAAUAUAUUAUUUCCUGCCUUUUAAAUAACUAAAGUCACUGAUGGAUCAAAAUAAAAUAGAAUUCUGAAUUAUGUCAGAUCAUUUUCUCAGAAACCAGUUAAAUGUCGAUGGCUUUUGUUAUCAUGUAUCUUAGAGGUUUUAAAUGAGUGAAUUUUUUUCCCCAUUGUGAAAUAAUGCAUACUCAUUGAAGAUAAUUUGGAAAUGAAACUGAUAAUUUUGCCUUCCUGUGAUAGUCAUUAUUAAUAUUUUUGGUGGAUUUUUGCCAUGAAACAAAGGGGGGAAUGCCAUUAACUUGUAAUGUGCUUUAUUUUUCAAAUAUUGUGUAAGGAACAUUUUAACAUAUAAUUAGACAUCAUUCAAAAAAUUUAAAGGAUUUGAAGGCUGUCUUUGCAUGUAUACAUAAAUUCAGGUAUUUUGCUCCUCAGUAAGAUGAAUUGUAGUUGUUCCAAUGCAUUAAAGUAACAGCUCUUUUAGAGGCUAUACUCUAGUCUGGAUAUGAAAGAAGUAAAGACAUAGUCCUUGUCCUCAAAGGGCUUGAAAACUGUGGCUUUACUUGAUAACCUAACGAAGUUUCUUGCCAAUAUAUGUUGAUACAUUGAGAGUUUGCUAGCUCUUAAUGAGGCUGUGUUGCAUCUAUUCAUGUAGGUAAUGUACACUACAGUGACUCCCUAGGGGCCGUGUGUGGACACCUUUGUUUGUGUACCUAAUGACUUGACCAUUGUAGCCAUUAGUACAUUCCCUUUCUGCCCCCAUCUUGCCCCCAAAUUGCUCCAAACCAGUGUUGGUUAGUGUAACACUACUUGUGACACUCUUAAACUGACUGAAAUGUCACCAUCUCCCUGAGCUCCAGGAGAACUCAGAACAUCAUGGAGGAAGAUGUUUUUCUCUGAGAUUGUUGACCUAGGUUACAGUAGAUCAGGUGAUCCCCAAAGAUUUUUUUUUUUUUUUAUGUUUGCAAUUUCUAAGACUUUUUCCUUCUAGAUUCUUAGUUUGCAUUGCUUGUUGUCAUUUUGCUUUGUUGCUGUUUUGUGAAAGAACAGACUUCUAAUUUUGAAAUACAAAGUGAAGAAAUAGUAAAAACAGAGGCAUAAGAUCAAGUGAUGGGUUAAAAUGCUAACGCUAUGAUCCUUGAUGUAAUUCUCCCUUUGAUUGUUCUCGAUUGAAAGAAUGCUUUUUCCUUCCUAUUGUCGAGUACUACCUGCUGUCAGUUGGAGAGGAGUAAGUAGAGCAACUCCUCAAAAGAUUUUCUAAGCUCCCAUCAUAUGGUUCGCAGAAACAGAGCUGGAUUUUCAUUUCUUCUUUCAUUCAACAGGAGUCCCUUUCAUGUUUGAAAAUUGAAAACGCGUGUUUUUCAGUGUGGAGCGAGGAUGUGUGCGCCCUCUGGCACACCUGUUUCUAAUUUCCUGACUUGAAAGCAUAACCCAUCAAAAGGAGCAGAAAAACAAUUUCUUUCUGACACGCUGCUUCGUGGCCCUUACUGGACUGAAGGCCUUCAUGGCUUUGCCUUCUUGGUUCCCUCUGUAGAAGGUUCUUGUUAGAGACAGAAUUCACUUAAUUCAGCCAGUGCCUUUUAUAGCACAAGGCCAUUUUUGGUAUUAUUCUGUUGGAGUGGUGAUUCUUUUUAGCUCAGGAGAUUUGCUUGAAAUAAGGUUUACUUAAAAAAGGACACAGAAAGAUCUUUAAAAUUUUUAAGCAUUAAAUUUAGCCAGGCAAUGUGUUGGAAAGUUAGAUGUAAGCUAAUCAGUAAGCCGAUUGGCCAGGAGAAGGGAUUGGUUGAGCAUAUGAAUGUUUAAAUUCCAUAGUGCUGUUUAACAUAAAUCAAAUAUUUCCAAUGUGAUACUUCAGAUUUUGUGUACUUUCAAGUCUUGCCAGCUUAAAUGACUAGGAGGCACAAUGUGUUGACUUUAAAUUUUGUAAAUUGAUAAUUUGUUGCUACGAAAGUUGUACAUGGUAUAACUCAUCACUUUCUGAAGGUACAUAGUAUGUCUGAUGUUAGCAAGCAGUUACAAAAAAAUUGAUGCUGAGGGAAUUUGAGGCUUUGUUUUCAAAUGCUUGAAGUAUGGAUCUUCAGUUCCUUUUAAGGUUUCCCUGAACAUUUUCAGCAUAAGGUACUUGGUUCUUUAGACAUACACUUUGGUUUGGGUUUUCUGCUUCUAAGAGUUCUUUGGGAUAAUAAUCUUAAUGGUGUAUCCUAAAAACAGUUUCUCAGGUUAUUAUUAUUAUUAUUUUAUUCUUUUUUUUUUUUUUUUUGGUACUUGGGAUUAAACCCAGGAAUGCUUUGCCACUGAGCUGCAUCCCCAGCCCUUUUCUUAUCUUUUUGUUUUGUGAUAGGGUUUCACUAAGUUGUUCAGACUGGCCUUGAACUCAUGAUCACCUGCCUCAGCCUCCUGAGGUACUGGGAUUACAGAUGUGCAUCACCAGGGUGAUGAUGAUGAUGAUGAUGAUUGUUGUUGUUUUAAAACUAACUCUUCUCAAACUUUGGUUUGUAUGAAUCACAUGGGGGUUUUGUUAAACAUGCAGAACGUGAUCCAGUAAGUCUGAGAUAAGUCCUGGGAUCCUUCAUUUUUCACAAGUUCCCAGGUGAUAUCAGUGCUGUUGGUUCGUAAUAAUUGGUUUGUAGAUAGUACUUUAGGCAAUAAGACAUUUCACUGGGCAAAGUGAUGCUGUCCCCUAGCUGUGUCUCACAUACAAUAUCUGGUACAUACAAUUUACCAGUCUCUCUUUUCAUUGUAUUUGGUGAAUAUUAAGAAGAUUUGACUCAGCUAGAAUCACACCUGUGAUCCUAGCUACUUGGGAGUCUGAUGUAAGAGGAUAAGUUCAAGGCUAGUCUGGGAAAUUUAGUGAGACCCUCUCAAAAUAAAAUAUAAUAAAAGGGCUGGGGUGGUGGGAAGUGCUGGGGAUAUAGCUCAGUGGUAGAGCACUUGCCUAGCAUGCACAGGGCCCUGAGUUUAAUUCCCAGUACUAAGAGAAGAAAAAGAAAGGAAAAAAAAAAAAAGGAGGAGGAGGAAAAGGAGAAGAUCAAACUGUAGGGUAUUGUUGCAAGUAUUAACGAAUAGUUUAAGUUACAUUGAGCUAGCAUGGAUAAGGACUACCAAAAUGGGAUUAUUGUGCUGGAAGUAGUAAUAUCUAUGCUUCCUGACUCUCAUGGGCUACACCUAGCCUUGUAAAUUAGCAAAGAUUCUUGUUAUAAAUAGAAGUGUAUAAAACAAAGUGCUAGUUCUAAAAAUUGAGAGAGGAAUUAUAAAGCCACAAUUGCUGAAUCAAAUAUAUUUUAUUUUAAUCAGCUUUGUCCAUGAUGACUGGUUAAUUUGGGCAAAAAUAUUUAUUAGUGAGUCAUACAGAAGAAGUAGGGACAUGUACAAGCAAAAAUGUAGCAACCAUCAGUUUUCAUUCUUAUUACCUCGUUUUUGGAAUACUACCUUGUUAUUGAAUAUACAUUGUGAUUCUCAUUAGUGAAUUGUAGCAUGAUCCAGAUCAUAGUAUAAAAUGUCAUGACCGAAAGACACCUUGCAUUGUUUUAGAAUAUUUUGUUCAUAUCAUGACAAGUAUAUUUAGUUUUAUUUAUUUGUAAUUUUUUUUAACCUUUGAUGACAUAUAAUUGAAAUAAAUGCUGACUAAUUGAAGCAUGGAUAGUUGUUUGUAAAAAGUCUGAGUUGGGGGCUGGGGUUGUAGCUGAAUGGUAGAAUGCUUACCUUGCAAGUGUAAGACACUGAGUUCAAGCCUCAGAACCACAUACAAAUAAAUAAAUAUAGGUAAUAUGUCUAUAUACAAAUAAAAAACAUUUAAAAAUUAAUAGUUAACAAAAAUCUGAGUUGGGCAUUGUAGAAUUGAAGACUUUAAUUAAAAUUCCACAGUGGUAUUUUAGCUCCACAUGUACCCACAUUGAAUGGAAGCACAUUGAGGUGGGGAAGGAUUAUGGGAUUUGUAAACAGACUUGGGUUGGAAUCCUAAUGGAGGAGGCAGAUUGGAUAGAUUGUGUUUACCAGUCCCAGGAUCAGGACAUCUUUCCUUAUGGAGGAAAGACCUAUAGAUAUGCUAAUUAGCACUGAUUGUUUUCACCUGGCACUAUUGCAUUUCCUGUUAGUUGGGACUCAGGGUUAUUGCUGUUUAGUAAUCCUGAGGAUUUCUGGUUUUUGUAUUUUUCCUCUCUUCUAGUUUUAAAUUUAAGAAUAUUUUUACUGUUUUUUCAUAAUUAUAAGAAAGUAUGUAUUUUGUAAUCUAUCAUGUUUAUCACUUUUUCUUAACAUUGAUGAUAGAAUGAUAAGCUAUGAUUGUAUUCUGCUGUGAUGAUGUGGUAUUGGGUUCUUAGAAAUGUAAAAAGAUAAUUUGUUUCAAUGUAGCUAAGGUAGCUAGUAAAAUUCAUGUCAGAGGAUCAUAAAGAUUGGAAUAUUUAUUAAGCGUUUGUUUCAUCUGAGUUCUUCCUUGUCCUUAAAAUUUAGAUUUGCCUCUGCUUUACAUAUUAUGCCUUAUUUCUCAUGCUAUAGUAAAUGGGAUAUACAGAUAUAAUAUUCUCAACUUUUUCAUGUUUUUGUUUUAUAUAUUCUUAUUAGUCUGAUUGGCCUUAUCUGCUUUGAUUUCGUUCUGCAUCUAAGUAGGAUUUUCUUUCUUGUAGUUUUUCUCACUAGAAUUAUAAUCUGUUUGGAUCUAGAGUAAACAUAAACAAUAUAAUUCUGAGCUUUCCUCAGAACAACCUUUGCAGGCUAAACCCUGCCUAUGCCAUCAGGUUCAUGCCAUCAAGUUCAUGGAUAGUUUUUAGCAGCUCAUUGUGUGAAUUUCACAGAUAAUUUUUAUUUUAACCUACAAUCAUGGAUGACUCUUUUUAACAGGAAACCUUAGUUACCAUUGUUCACUCUUUAUUGCUGUUGUUGCAAUGUAAACAUGUUAGCACAGUUUCUUGAGGAGUGAAUAUUUCUGCAUCUCCACCUAGUUAGAAUCCCUUCCUUCCUUAUCUAUCUGAUGGGUGAGGCCUGGUUUAUCCUUCAAGACUGAGUCCAAAUGUCUUCUCUUUUGUGCAGUUUUUCUUCCUUUCUUUUCCCCUCUCUUCUUUCCCUUCCUCUCCUUUCUUCCCUCUCUUCCUACUUUUUCUCCUUGCCCAACUCCAAAGAUUUACUUCCUCUGAAGUCAGUGGUGCCGUAAUAUGACACAUAUAUCACUUGUAUCAUUGUUCUUCAACACAAAGCCUGGGAUCUCCUUGAGGAAGAGGCUGGUAGGUAAAAAAUACAGAAAGUGCUUAAUAAAUAUCUGUUGAAUUGAAUUCAGGAGCUCUUUGCCUGUUUUGAAGCACUGUCAAAGAGAUUCUGAUGGGUAAAUUAAUUGCUUGUUUUACAUCAAAAAGCCAGAACUAGCACUCUUGUUCAAGUACUUAGGUAUUCAUGGUAGAGGCUGUUGGUUUAUUUAUAAAAUGGAGCUUUUGCUUUAGUUUGGUUUAGUUUUGGUAAAGUGUAUUACUUUUAAAUUUCUUUUCUCUUAUUGUAAUACAUUGGGAUCCCUGAGUUAAGAUGAUCAGCUUAAAAUUUUCUGACAUAACAAUGGUGUGAAAGUGGUAUAUAAUUCAAUAGGAAUUGUGCUUUGAAUUUUAGUAGUUUUGAGCUAGUGGUACUUAGUAUGAUACUCUCUAGGUAGUGGCAUUGAGCGGCAGCUCACAGUCAGCUGCAUAAUCAUAAAGGUAAAUAACUGAUACUCUACAAUAGAUUGUGUUGCUGACGUGUAUUAAAUUAAUUUUUGACUCAUGAUAUUUUCAACUUAUGAUGGGUUUAGUUGAGUGUAACUCUGUUGUAAGUUGAGGAGUAUUUGUGAUUAUAUGCUUUGGGUUGCAAGUGAUAGAAAUCACAACUCCAGGGGCUGGGGAUAUAGCUCAGUUGGUAGAGUGCUUGCCUCAUAUGCACAAGGCCCUGGGUUCAACCCCAGCACCAAAAAAAAAAAAAAAAAAAAAUCUGCGCUUACCAAAGCCAUGUCUGUUGCCAUUAUUUUUGGCUUACAGAACUGGCUGUGGAAGAUGGAUGUUUUUGUUUUGAAAAAUCAAAUACAGUAGAUUAAAAAAAAUACCACCACAAAGUUUGUUUGUAUCUUCAUUUCACUUAGGUUGAAUAGAUGAAAUGGGAUCUGGCUUCUUUCAUAUUGUUUAUGUUCUGCUUUGCUUCUUGAUUCUGGGGCAGAAUUCCUAGUUCUCUUUGAAUUUAUUUUCCACUCAGGUAUCAUUUGCAAGAUUAUUUUAGAAAUUAAUAAAUAGAAAGUAGUUCUGAGCAUUAUAAUUGGGCUAAUAUGACACAAUAUGAUGAUGUUUCAUUAGCAUUAUAAAAUACUUUGAAACAUCUGUUCCCUUAGCUUAAUCUGUGUUGAGUUUUUUUUUUUUUUAAAUUUCAGAAGGAAGAAAGGCACUUUGCAUAAGUUACCACUGUAAUAUUUUAAAUGAAGGGUCAUUUGAAGGUCUCACUCUUUCAUCUUUUUUAAUAUAAGGGCAAAUAUAGAUGCUUGGUCUAUAUUUCACUUCUGUGUAAUAAAAUGGCCUAUAUAAAUAAAGUACAUAAAAUCAAAGUGACUAAAGUUGUUUUUGUUCACUGAAACUGUUAUAAAAGUGCCAUCACUAUGUGCUUAUGUGCAUACAUGAAUGCAUUCAUGGAUAGAGAUUUCACAGGAAUUUAAGUGUAAGAUUAUAUGCCCUGAUGGUUAGUUUUUGAUUAUUAUUUCAGCCACUAUAUUAUAAAUAUUAGGUUAUUAAUUAGUUGAUGGAAGUCAGUUUAAACAAGUAGUCUGUAACUGUUUGGUUAACCUGUUGUGAUCCCCAAAGUUUAUGGCUUAAUACAAUUACCAUUUUCUUAUAUCUCAUUAUAUUUUGUGUUAACUUGGUCUCAUGUGGCUAGUUCUUUGCUGGUCAUGCUUGAAGAUUCUCAUGUGACUGCAGUCACUUGGUAACCUGACUAGAUCUCCAUGACAGUUUCACUCACCUGGCUGGCAUCUUUGUGGAACAACUAGAAGGCUGAGCUCAGCUGGUAUGUUGGGAUGCUUUGGCCUUACAUUCCUCCCAAGCAGUAUUAGGGAUUAUCCCUGUCUCAUGUGGCCUCUCCAUGCAGGUAGUGAGAUGUUUUACAAGAUAGCUCUGUACUCUCAAAAGUACAAAAGUGAAACCUGUUAGCCCUCUGUAAGGCUUGUGUCUGAGGGUAGCAUUAUAUUUGUUAGUGUGAAUCACAGGGCUAAUCCAGAUUCAUUGUAGGAGGAAAUUACAUAAAGGUGUGAAUUCCAGCACUUGGUUCACUGGGUCCCAUCUUCGGAGACUAGCUAACAUAGUAAAUUUUUCUUUUGUGAAUAAUUGUUCUCCCCCUGAGAAUCUAAAAACUAUGGAUUUUCUCCCUGGAAGUAUGACUGUGAACACAAUUGCCUACAUAAAUGUGCACGAUUUUACUAAAAUUUCAUAGGAUUCUUAGUUGUGGCUUGUCAGCUUAAGUACCCCUUGUUUAAUGCAUAAAUUUAGUAACUACUAAGUUUGUUAUUUAAAUAAUAACUUUAUUGUUUUAAACUAACUGCAUAAAAUUUCAUUGUAUGGUUGUACUAGUCCCUUGGAAUGACCAUUGGGUAUUUCUUGGGUUUUGUUUUUAUUUUAUUUGCUGUUCUAAUAGCAGUAAUUUUCUUUUAUAUAGCUAUUGUAUAUAUUUAUUUCCUUACCAUAAAUUCUUAGAAAUGUACUUUCUGACUUAAAAGACUGGAUAUUUUAAAAGAUUUUGUUAGAUAUUGACUAUUCACUGUUUUCCUCUGAAAGCUUUCAAUUUUUAGAUAGCAAGUUUUAAUCUUUAGCAGGCUUUGAGUUGAUUGUUGAGUAUGGUAAGAUAAGAUAGAAUUUCACUUUUUUCUUUCUUUUUUUUGUUUGGACUUCGGGAUACUUUUUUUCUUAUUAAGAACAUGACCAUAUACUGACAUUUUGGUCAAUGAUGGAUCACAUAUUCGAGGGUGGUCCUGUAAGAGUAUAUUGCCUAGUGAUGUUAUUGUCAUCUUAGUUUAUGUAACUAUGAUCUGUGAGGUUCACAGAACAACAAAAUUGACUAAUGACACAUUUAUCAGAAUGUACACCUCUAGUUAAGUGAAUGUAACUGUUUUUUAAAAAUUGCACUAUUGAAAGCAUAUAAAAAUAUCUAAAUUAUAUAUGUAAUUUAUAAAAUAAAAACAUAAUCAAACACCUUGAAACUACCAUCACCUUAACAUGAACAUUUGUAGCUUUUUUCUAGCUUUACUAAGAUAUAAUUAACAAAUAAAAAUUGUAUGUAUUUUAGACAUAUAAUGUGAUGUUUUGAUAUAUAUAUAUACACAUGCUGAGAUGAUUAGCACAUCAAGCUAAUGAAUGUAUUCAUUAAUUCACAUGGGUAUCUUUCCUUUUUUAUGAUAAGAAUAAUUAAGAUUUACUCUCUUGGCAAAUUUAAAAUAUAUAGUACAUUAUUAGUAAGUAUUAGUUCUUAAUUACCUUGCUAUACGUUAGGUCCCCAGGGCUUACUCAUUUUCUAAUUGCAAGUUUAUGGCAUUUGACCAUUUUCCUCUUUCUUGGUAACCACCCUUCUGUUUUAUAUUUCUGUGAGCUUAGCUGUUUCAGAUUCUAUAUAUAUGUGAGAUCAUACAGCAUUUGCCUUUCUGAUUCUGACUUAUUUCACUUAGCAGAAUGUCAUCCAUUUUAUCACAAAUAGUAGAAAGAAAGAGAGAGAGAGAGAGAGAGAUCGAGCGAGAGAGAGAGAGCGGGCGAGAGAGAGCGAGCGCACAUCCAAGCAAGAGAAAGCUCGAGUCUGCACAGAAGCAUUUUCUUUAUUCUUUUAUCUAUCAGUAGAUACUUGGAUUGUUUCCAUAUCUUGGCUAUUGUGCAUAAUACUACAUUGAACAUAAGCAUGCAAACUUCUCUUUAAGCUAAGGUUUUGUUUUCUGUGUACACCAAAGGUGGGAUUGUAGGAUUAUGAUCCUAUGAGGUAGUUCUAUAUUUAGUUUUUUGAGGAAUCACUAUAUCAUUUUCCAUAAUGGCUGUGUCAAUUUACAUCCUCACUAAUUGUGUAAAAGGGCUCCCUUUUCUCCAUAUCCUCACCAAUAUUUUUUAUCUUUGAACUUUUUGACAAUAGCUAUUCUAAUAGGUGUGAAGUAUUACCUCUUUAAGGUUUUCUUUUUAUUUCCCUGUUAUGUGCCUAUUGGUCAUUUUUAUAUCUUUGUUGGGAGAACUCCUACUUAGGUAUUUUGCUCAUUUAUUAUUCAGGUCCCCCCCAAAAAAAACUAUUCACUUGUUUGAGUUUCUUUUGUAUUUUGCUUAUUAACCCCUUACCAGAUAUAUGGUUUACAUACAUUUUCUCUCAGUGGACUUCUUUGCAUUUUGUUGAUUUUUUCCCCUUUGUUAUACAGAACUAUUUUUAUUUAUGUAGUUCUACUUGUUUAUUUUUGCUUUGGUUGUCUGUGUUUUUGUUGUUGUAUCCCCAAAUAAUUUUUAAACUAAUAUUUUGGAACUUUUCCACUGUAUUUUCUUCUAGGCAUUUCAUAGUUUUACAUCUUAUGUUUAAAUCUUUAUUUUGAAUUUAUUUUUAUGUAUUGUAUAAAGAUCCAACUUUAUUUUUUACAUAUACAUACCAAGUUUUCUCAGCUUCAUUUAUUGGAGAGACUAUCUUUCUCGCAUUGUGUAUUUUUGUGCCCUUGUCAAGGAUCAGUUGACCUUGUAUAUGUGAGUUUAUUUCCAUACUCUCUGUUCAGCUGGUCUAUGUGUCUGGGUUUUUUCUUUUCUUUUCUUUUCUUUUCCCCUUCCUUCCUUCCUUCCUUCCUUCUCUCUCUCUCUCUUUCUUUCUUUCUUUCUUUGCCUAGUGUGCUGUUUUGAUUGAUAUAGUGUUGAAAUAUAAUUUAAAAUUAGGAAGUAUUAUGCUUAUGGCUUUGUCCUUUUUACUUGUCAUUUUGGUAUACUGUAAAUUUAAGGAUUAAUUUUUCUGCUUCUAUGGAAAAUGGCAUUGAAAUUUCAAGAAGGGUUAUAUUGGAUCUCUAAAUUGCUUUGAUGUGACAACAUUGAGAUUCUUCCAGUGCAUGAAUAGAGAUAUCUUUGCAUUUAUCUUUGUCUUUACCUUUUUUCAUCAAUGUUUUAUAAUCUUCACUGUAUGGGUCUCCUUGGUUAAAUUUGUUACUGUUUUUUUUUUUUUUCAUUUAUAUGUUUUAAACUUUUGAUGCUAUUGUAAGUGGAAUUUUUUUAUUUUCUAUUUCAUACAGUUUAUUGUUAGCAUAUAGAAACACACCUGAUUUUGUAUUAUUCCACAAUUUUACCGAAUUUGUUUAUUUGCCUUAACAAGAUUUUGGUGAAAAUUUGAGGAUUUUCUCUAAAUAAGAUCAUGUCAUCUGCAAAUAGAUAUAUCUUCAAACUCUGUCUUGUCAUCUGCAAACUCCUAGCUUUUGGAUUUGGUUCCUAUUUAUUUAUUUUCUUGCCUAAUUGCUCUAGCCAAGACUUCUGGUACUAUGUUGAAUGGAAAUGAUGAAAGUGGCCAUCCUUGUCUUGUUUCUGACUUUAGAGGAAACAUUUUCAAAUUUUCACCAUUGAGUAUGAUGUUAGCUUUGGUCUGUCACAAAUGGCCAUUACUGUGUUGAGGUACAUUCCUUCUAUACCUAAUUUGUUGAGAGAUUUUAUCAGGAAAGGAUGUUGAAUUUUGGUAAAUUCUUUUUACUGAUAUGAUCUUAUUGUUUUUGUCAUUCAUUAUGUUAAUGUGUGACUCACAUUUAUAGAUUUACAUUUUGUAUAAACCAUACUGGCAUUCCAGGGAUAAAUACCACUUCAUGACAUCAUGGUGAAUGAUUCUUUUAAUUUUCUAUUGAAUUUUAUUUGUUAGUAUUUUGAUGAGAAUUUUUGUAUUCAUGUUCAUCAGAGAUAUAGCCUUUAUUUUUCUUUUCUUGUAAUGUCCUUAUCUGAUUUUUGUAUGAGGGCAAUGCCUUGUAAAAUUAGUUUAGAAAUAUUCCCUUCUCUUCAGUUUUUCAUAAGAUUUUGAGAUUUAGAAUUUAUUAAUUCUACCAAACAUUUCUUUAAAUGUUUGGUAGAAUUAAAAAAAUUUAAAGAAAUGUUUGGUAGAAUUAAUAAAAUCACUAGGUCGUGGGCUUUCUUGGAUGGAAGACUUUUUGAUUACUCAUUUUAUCUUAUUCAUUAUUGGUCUUUUGAGAUUUUCUAUUUCUUUAUGAUUCAGUCCCAUUAGGUUUUAUGUUUCUUGAAAUCCAUUACUUUCUUCUGUGUUAUUCAAUUUUCUGGUUUAUAGUUAUUCAUAGUGUCUUAUGAUCCUUUAUAUUAAGUUAUAAUAUCUCUUCUUUCAUUUCUGAUAUAUAAUUUGUCAAUUUUGUACAUCUUUUCAAAACAUAACUCAUAAGUUCAUUUACCUACUCUAUUGUUUUUCUCAAUUUCAUUUAUUUCUGUUGUCAUCUAUAUUAUUCCUUCUUUCUACUAAUGUUGGGCUUAGUUUUUUUUUUUCUUUUUUAUUCCUACUUCCUUAAGAUAUAAAGCUAGGUUGUUUAAGAUCUUUCUUUCUUUCAUGUAGAUAUUUAUUACUGUAAACUUCCCCCUUAGAACUGCUUUCCCCGCAUCUCAUGUGUUUUGAUAUUUGUGUGUAUGUGUGGGUGUGUUUGGCAUCAUGACACACACACACACACACACACAAACAUAUAGACACUUAUACAUACAUACUGGAACUUGAACCUAGGGCCUCAUACAUGCUAGGCAAGUGCUCUUCCACUGAGCUACAUCCCCCAAUCUUUUUCAAAUUUAUUUUGGGACAGGGCCUUGUUAAAUUGCCCAAACUGGCCUUGAACUUGUGAUCUUCUUGCUUCAACCUCCCAAGUAACUGAGAUUACAGGCAUGUGCCACUGCACCUGCAGCAUCAUAUUUUCAAAUUUUCCUUUAAGUUUAGUUUUUUGGACUUGUUGCUUGCUCAGAAGCAUGUUGUUUAAUUUCCAUUGAUUUGCAAGUUUUCAAUUUUUCUUCCCUUUAUUGAUUUCUAGUUUCACAUAGUUAUGGUUGGAAAAAUAUUUGAUGUGAUUUCAGUCUUCUUAAAUUUUUAACACUUGUUUGUAACCUAGCAUAUGAUCUUACUGGAGAAUGUUCUGUGUGUAUGUAAGAAGUAUGUGUAUUUUUCUGUUGUUGGAUGCAGUGUUCUAUAUGUAUCUGUUAGGUCAAUUUGGUCAAAAGUAUAGUUUAAAAGUCCAGUAUUUCCUUAUUGACUUUCUGUCUUGAUGAUCUAUCUAUCCAUUGUUGAGAGUGAGACAUUGAAUUUCUCUACUAUAUUACUGUCUAUAUUUGCCAUCAGAUUUACUGAGUUACUUAGGGCCUCACUAAGUUGCUGAGGCUGACUUUGAACUAAAGAUCUUCCUGCCUGAGCCUCUGGGAUAAUAGGUGUGCACUGCCAGGCCUGGUCCGAGUUUCUCAUUUUGUCCUUUGUGUCUAUAUAUUCUUUUGCAGCUUGCUUAGUUUCUGAAGACAUUAUUAUUUUGAAUUCUUGUCAAAGAAUUUUCAUAUUUCUUAGAGUGUUUUAUAGCUCUCUUUGUAUUUGAAGAAGCAGUUGUCUCCCUCAAUAUUUAGAGAAACAUCUUUACCAUUCAGGUCAGAUAGGAAUUCUGAGUCUCUCUCUUAGACCUUAGAUCCAUAUCUCUUGAUCCCAUUUUUUUUUGGGUGAAUGGUAAUUCUCAAGAUUGUAUGCCUGUCUUGAUCCCUCAGAGUUGAACCAUCUGUUUUUAUGCAAUGCUUGCUUUUUGUUAUCUGUGAAGGCAUGCUUGGGAAGUUGGCCUAGUAGGUAGUGAAAUUUAUAAAGCAUUUGGGGGUAUCUAUAGGCUUGUUUGGUGUUUUAAAGUUGAGGCAUCCCAAGAAGUUUGAGUGUAGGCUUCAUGAAGAAGUUAUAGAGUGGUUAAUAGCAUCUGUAACCUCUCUUUUCUUCUUCCCUCCUCCUCUAACUACUCAACCAUGCUGAUUACUUUGUAUUCUGAGUGAGAUAACAAAGAAAUCAUAUUCUUGGGUAGUAUCUCUCUUGGCUGGGGGACCCAGGUACUUACUACUAUACACUUACUUCCUACUGUAGCAUAAAUAGUUAGCCAGGGUAUCUCUCUUGGCAUUGAUAUGUGCCACCUUGGGGGAGAAGUGAAAAGGGUUAACUAAAAUCAUUCCUCAUCUCUUGAAUGUGUUUGCCCUGAGACUUUUGUGAUGUAUCUAUAGGUAUGAAAUGUCUGUUGAACACUUGGAGUUCUGGAUUCUGAUAAAGGUAUUGUCAUUCAUAGAUAGUUGUCAAAAUUUUUGAUUCUAUAGAGGGAUGACAGUAGAAAGUUUCUAUACUACCAUGUUGCUUAUGACUCUGAUUAGUAAUACUGUUUUAUCUUCUUCUAUUAAGUUACAAUCCUUGCCUUUCCACAGUCACUAUUCUGAAAUUUGUGUAUUACUACCUUUUUCUUUUAUAAAAAGUUUAAUCACAUAUGUAUGUAUCCCUAAAUAAUAUAAUGUUUGAUUUUAUGGGUGUUUUUUUAAUUGUAGGAGCAUGGUAUCAUAUGAUAUGUGGUUCUCUGUCUUGCUUCUUUUACUAUUAUAUUUCCAUAGUGUUUUGUAAAUAUAAUUGUUUGAGCAUACUAGUACAUUUAUGUUUUUUUUCUUCUAUUUUUAUUUUAUAUUAUUUUGUUGGUACCAGGGAUUGAACCCAAGGGUGCUUAACCACUGAGCCACAAUGCCAGCCCUUUUAUUUUUUAUUUUGAGACAGGGUCUCGCUAAGGUACUUAGGGCCUUGCUAAGUUGCUGAGACUGGCUUUGAACUUUUGAUCAUCCUGCCUCAACCUACUACAUUUCUGGAAUUAUAGGCACGAGCCACCAAACCUGGCUAAUACAUUUAUUUUAAUUUUUGUAUAAUAUUCCAUUGGAUACCAUUGGAUAGCACUGGAUAGUAAUUCUCAGAAUUCUGUAUUUUCUUCUGAGCUUAUUAACUAUAAUUCUUCUAAAAAAAGACCUUUCAUUUAUCAUCAAUGUGUAGUUCACUUAUCAUUAACGUGAUAUAUACAGAGGUAUAGUUCUUAUAGGAAAGGCAGGAGAGAUGUUUAAUUCUUUUUAUUUUUAUAUUAAUUUUCAAAAUAAUGAGAUGAUAUAAGGCAGUCCCAAGAUAUUCAAUUAAGUAGUAUUUUAUAUAUUUAAUUUUUUUGCUGUUUAUUUGUAAAUUUGUGAAAUUAUCAAAUUUUGAAUUUUCAAAUAUUUUAUAUAUUUGUACCCAUCAUGUCCAUUUUUAUCUUCCCACGUAUUUAAAUGCUCUGUUUAUUAGGUGUAUACAUAUUUAGGAUUUUAUCUUUAAAUUAUCAUUUUUAUCAUUAUUAAAUAAAUUAUAAAAUUUUUAGAUGAGUCUUUGUUUUUUUUUUUUUAAUUUUUUAUUGUUGGCUGUUCAAAACAUUACAUAGUUCUUGAUAUAUCAUAUUUCACAAUUUGAUUCAAGUGGGUUAUGAGCUCCCAUUUUUACCCCAUAUACAGAUUGCAGAAUCACAUCAGUUACACAUCCAUUGAUUUACAUAUUGCCAUACUAGUGUCUGUUGUAUUCUGCUGCCUUUCCUAUCCUCUACUAUCCCCCCUCCCCUCCCCUCCCCUCCCCUCCCCUCCCCACUUCUCUCUCUGCUCCCUCUACUGNNNNNNNNNNNNNNNNNNNNNNNNNNNNNNNNNNNNNNNNNNNNNNNNNNNNNNNNNNNNNNNNNNNNNNNNNNUUUUUUUUUUUUUUUUUUAAUUUUUUAUUGUUGGCUGUUCAAAACAUUACAUAGUUCUUGAUAUAUCAUAUUUCACAAUUUGAUUCAAGUGGGUUAUGAGCUCCCAUUUUUACCCCAUAUACAGAUUGCAGAAUCACAUCAGUUACACAUCCAUUGAUUUACAUAUUGCCAUACUAGUGUCUGUUGUAUUCUGCUGCCUUUCCUAUCCUCUACUAUCCCCCCUCCCCUCCCCUCCCCUCCCCUCCCCUCUUCUCUCUCUGCUCCCUCUACUGACAUUCGUUUGUCCCCCUUAUAUUAUUUUUCCCCUUCCCCUCACUUCCUCUUGUAUGUACUUUUGUAUAACUCUGAGGGUCUCCUUCCAUUUCCAUGCAUUUUCCCUUCUCUCUCCCUUUCCCUCCCACCUCUCAUCCCUGUUUAAUGUUAAUCUUCUUCUCAUGCUCUUCGACCCUACUCUGUUCUUAGUUACUCUCCUUAUAUCAAAGAAGACAUUUGGCAUUUGUUUUUUAGGGAUUGGCUAGCUUCACUUAGCAUAAUCUGCUCUAAUGCCAUCCAUUUCCCUGUAAAUUCUAUGAUUUUGUCAUUUUUUAAUGCAGAGUAAUACUCCAUUGUGUAUAAAUGCCACAUUUUUUUUAUCCAUUCAUCCAUUGAAGGGCAUCUAGGUUGGUUCCACAGUCUAGCUAUUGUGAAUUGUGCUGCUAUGAACAUCGAUGUAGCAGUGUCCCUGUAGCAUGCUCUUUUUAGGUCUUUAGGGAAUAGACCAAGAAGGGGAAUAGCUGGGUCAAAUGGUGGCUCCAUUCCCAGCUUUCCAAGAAAUCUCCAUACUGCUUUCCAAAUUGGCUGCACCAAUUUGCAGUCCCACCAGCAAUGUACAAGUGUACCCUUUUCCCCACAUCCUCGCCAGCACUUGUUGUUGUUUGACUUCAUAAUGGCUGCCAAUCUAACUGGAGUGAGAUGGUAUCUUAGGGUGGUUUUGAUUUGCAUUUCUCUGACUGCUAGAGAUGGUGAGCAUUUUUUCAUGUACUUGUUGAUUGAUUGUAUGUCCUCCUCUGAGAAGUGUCUGUUCAGGUCUUUGGCCCAUUUGUUGAUUGGGUUAUUUGUUAUCUUAUUGUCUAAUUUUUUGAGUUCUUUGUAUACUCUGGAUAUUAGGGCUCUAUCUGAAGUGUGAGGAGUAAAGAUUUGUUCCCAGGAUGUAGGCUCCCUAUUUACCUCUCUUAUUGUUUCUUUUGCUGAGAAAAAACUUUUUAGUUUGAGUAAGUCCCAUUUGUUGAUUCUAGUUAUUAACUUUUGUGCUAUGGGUGUCCUAUUGAGGAAUUUGGAGCCCGACCCCACAGUAUGUAGAUCGUAGCCAACUUUUUCUUCUAUCAGACGGCGUGUCUCUGAUUUGAUAUCAAGCUCCUUGAUCCAUUUUGAAUUAACUUUUGUGCAUGGCGAGAGAAAGGGAUUCAGUUUCAUUUUGUUGCAUAUGGAUUUCCAGUUUUCCCAGCACCAUUUGUUGAAGAUGCUAUCCUUCCUCCAUUGCAUGCUUUUAGCCCCUUUAUCAAAUAUAAGGUAGUUGUAGUUUUGUGGAUUGGUUUCUGUGUCCUCUAUUCUGUACCAUUGGUCCACCCGCCUGUUUUGGUACCAGUACCAUGCUGUUUUUGUUACUAUUGCUCUGUAGUAUAGUUUGAAGUCUGGUAUCGCUAUACCGCCUGAUUCACACUUCCUGCUUAGCAUUGUUUUUGCUAUUCUGGGUCUUUUAUUUUUCCAUAUGAAUUUCAUGAUUGCUUUAUCCAUUUCUACAAGAAAUGCCGUUGGGAUUUUGAUUGGCAUUGCAUUAAACCUAUAGAGAACUUUUGGUAAUAUCGCCAUUUUGAUGAUGUUAGUUCUGCCUAUCCAUGAACAGGGUAUAUUUUUCCAUCUUCUAAGAUCUUCUUCUAUUUCUCUCUUUAGGGUUCUGUAGUUUUCAUUGUAUAAGUCUUUCACCUCUUUUGUUAGGUUGAUUCCCAAGUAUUUUAUUUUUUUUGGAGAUAUUGUGAAUGGAGUGGUUGUCCUCAUUUCCAUUUCAGAGGAUUUGUCGCUGAUAUACAGGAAUGCCUUUGAUUUAUGCGUGUUGAUUUUAUAUCCUGCCACUUUGCUGAAUUCAUUUAUUAGCUCUAAUAGUUUCUUUGUAGAGUCUUUUGGGUCUGCUAGGUAUAGAAUCAUAUCAUCUGCAAAUAGUGAUAAUUUAAGUUCUUCUUUUCCUAUUUUUAUGCCUUUAAUUUCUUUCGUCUGUCUAAUUGCUCUGGCCAGUGUUUCGAGAACUAUGUUGAACAGAAGUGGUGAGAGAGGGCAUCCCUGUCUUGUUCCAGAUUUUAGAGGGAAUGCCUUCAAUUUUUCUCCAUUCAGAAUGAUGCUAGCCUGAGGCUUAGCAUAGAUUGCUUUUACAAUAUUGAGGUAUGUUCCUGUUAUCCCUAGUUUUUCUAGAGUUUUGAACAUAAAGGGAUGCUGUACUUUGUCGAAUGCUUUUUCCGCAUCUAUCGAGAUGAUCAUAUGGUUCUUAUUUUUAAGUCUAUUGAUGUGGUGAAUAACAUUUAUUGAUUUCCGUAUAUUGAACCAGCCUUGCAUCCCAGGGAUGAAUCCUACUUGAUCAUGGUGCACAAUUUUUUUGAUAUGUUUUUGUAUCCGAUUCGCCAGAAUUUUAUUGAGGAUUUUUGCAUCUAGGUUCAUUAGAGAUAUUGGUCUGUAGUUUUCUUUCUUUGAAGUGUCUUUGUCUGGUUUAGGUAUCAGGGUGAUGUUGGCCUCGUAGAAUGAAUUUGGAAGUUCUCCCUCUUUUUCUAUUUCCUGAAGUAGCUUGAAAAGUAUUGGUAUUAGUUCCUCUUUAAAGGUUUUGUAAAACUCUGCUGUAUACCCAUCCGGUCCUGGGCUUUUCUUAGUUGGUAGUCUUUUGAUGGUUUCUUCUAUUUCCUCAAUUGAUAUUGGUCUGUUUAGGUUGUCUAUAUCCUCCUGACUCAAUCUGGGCAGAUCAUAUGACUUCAGAAAUUUAUCGAUGCCUUCACUAUCUUCUAAUUUAUUGGAGUAUAAGGAUUCAAAAUAAUUUUUGAUUAUCUUCUGUAUUUCUGAAGUGUCUGUUGUGAUAUUGCCUUUUUCAUCCCGUAUGCUAGUAAUUUGAGUUCUCUCUCUUCUUCUCUUCGCUAGCAUGGCUAAGGGUCUGUCGAUUUUGUUUAUUUUUUCAAAGAACCAACUUUUAGUUUUGUCAAUUUUUUCAAUUGUUUCUUUUGUUUCGAUUUCAUUAAUUUCAGCUCUGAUUUUAAUUAUUUCUUGCCUUCUACUUCUUUUGCUGUUGUUUUGCUCUUCUUUUUCUAGGAUUUUGAGAUGAAGUAUGAGAUCAUUUAUUUGUUGGUUUUUUCUUUUUUUAAGGAAUGAACUCCAAGCAAUGAAUUUUCCUCUUAGAACUGCUUUCAAUGUGUCCCAUAGAUUCCGAUAUGUUGUGUCUGUGUUUUCAUUUAUCUCUAAGAAUUUUUUAAUUUCCUCCUUGAUGUCUUCUAUAACCCAUUGAUCAUUCAGUAACCUAUUGUUCAUUCUCCAAGUGAUGUAUGCUUUUUCCUUCCUUCUUUUAUCGUUGAUUUUCAGUUUCAUUCCAUUAUGAUCAGAUAGGAUGCAUGGUAUUAUCUCUACUCCUUUAUAUUGUCUAAGAGUUGCCCUGUGACAUAAUAUAUGAUCUAUUUUUGAGAAGGAUCCAUGUGCUGCUGAGAAAAAAGUGUAACUGCUUGAUGUUGGGUGGUAUAUUCUAUAUAUGUCAGUUAAGUCUAGGUUAUUAAUUGUGUUAUUGAGUUCUAUAGUUUCCUUAUUCAACUUUUGUUUGGAAGAUCUGUCCAGUGGUGAGAGAGGUGUGUUGAAGUCUCCCAUGAUUAUUGUAUGGUGGUCUAUUAGACUCUUGAACUUGAGAAGAGUUUGUUUGAUGAACAUAGCUGCACCAUUGUUUGGGGCAUAUAUAUUUAUGAUUGUUAUGUCUUGUUGGUGUAUGGUUCCCUUGAGCAGUAUGUAGUGUCCCUCUUUAUCCCUUUUGAUUAACUUUGGCUUGAAAUCUAUUUUAUUUGAUAUGAGUAUGGAUACUCCUGCUUGUUUCCGAAGUCCAUAUGAGUGAUAUGAUUUUUCCCAACCUUUCACCUUCAGCCUAUGUAUGUCUUUUCCUAUCAAAUGCGUCUCCUGUAGGCAGCAUAUUGUUGGGUCUUGUUUUGUGAUCCAUUCUACUAGCCUGUGUCUCUUGAUUGGUGAGUUUAAGCCAUUAACAUUUAGGGUUAUUAUUGAGAUAUGGGUUGUUCUUCCAGCCAUAUUUGUUUAUUUAUGUUACUAAACAUGGUUUGUUUUCCUCUUUGAUUAUUUUCCCCCCUUUAGUGUCCUACCUCCCACUGUUGGUUUUCAUUGUUAUUUUCCAUUUCCUCUUCCUGUAAUGUUUUGCCAAGGAUGUUUUGAAGAGAUGGUUUUCUAGCUGCAAAUUCUUUUAACUUUUGUUUAUCGUGGAAGGUUUUAAUUUCAUCUUCCAUCCUGAAGCUUAAUUUCGCUGGAAACACAAUUCUUGGUUGGAACCCAUUUUCUUUCAGUGUUUGAAAUAUGUUAUUCCAGGAUCUUCUAGCUUUCAGAGUCUGUGUUGAAAGAUCGGCUGUUAUCCUGAUUGGCUUACCCCUAAAUGUGAUCUGCUUCCUUUCUCUUGUAGCUUUUAAAAUUCUCUCCUUAUUCUGUAUGUUGGGCAUCUUCAUUAUAAUGUGUCUAGGUGUGGGUCUCUUAUGAUUUUGCACAUUCGGUGUCCUGUAGGCUUCUAGGAUUUGGGGUUCUGUCUCAUUCUUCAAGUCUGGAAAGUUUUCUCGUAUUAUUUCAUUGAAUAGAUUGCUCAUUCCUUUGGUUUGAAACUCUGUCCCUUCCUGUAUCCCAAUGACUCUUAAAUUUGGUCUCUUGAUGUUAUCCCAUAUUUCUUGGAUGUUCUGCUCAUGGUUUCUUAACAGUCUUGCUGAGCUGUUUAUGUUCUUUUCAGGUUGAAAUACUUUGUCUUCAUUGUCUGAUGUUCUGUCUUCUAAGUGUUCUACUCUGCUGGUAGUAUUCUCAAUUGAGUUUUUAAUUUGGCUUAUUGCUUCCUGCAUUUCUAGGAUUUCUGUUUGUUUGUUUUUUAUAACCUCCAUUUCCCUGUAUAGUUGGGCAUGGAUUUUAAUGUUCAUACAUAAUAUAUAGUUAUCAGUUAUUAAUUUUUUUAAAUGUAUCCAUUUUAUUUUUGUUUGUUUGUUUAAGAUGGACACAAUAUCUUUAUUUUAUUUGUUUAUUUUUAUGUGGUUACAGGGAUUGGACUCAGUGCCUCAGGCAUACUAGGCAAGCACUCUACCACUGAGCCAUAGCCCCGGCCCAUCAAUUAUUUUUAAAAGGAAUUUCCCCCCUUUCUCCUUCUCUCAAUAUUUUUUUCAGUUUUUUAAUUUGUUCUAAUGAGUUAUACAUUACAGUAGAAUGUACUCUGACAUAUUAUACAUAAAUGGAGCAUAAUUUCUCAUUCUUCUGGUUGUAUAUGAUGUAGAAUCAUACCAGUCGUGCAGUCAUAUAUGUACAUAGGCUAAUAAUGUCUGACUCAUUCUAUGAUUAUUCUUACCCCCAUGCUGCUGCCCCUCUCUUUACCCCCAUUUACCUAAUCUAAAGUAACUCUGUUCUUCUCUAGCCUCCCACAAUGUGAAUUAGCUUUCACAUACAGAGAAAACAACCAGCCUUUGAUUUUUGGGGGAUUGGCUAUUUCGCUUAGCAUGAUAUUCUCCAGCUCCAUCCAUUUAUUAGCAAAUGCCAUAAUUUCAUUUUUCUUUAAGGCUGAGUAAUAUUCCAUUGUGUGUGUGUGUGUGUGUGUGUGUGUUUCUUUAUCCAUUUGUCUGUUGAAGGGCACCUAUGUUGGUUCCAUAUUUUAGCUAUUGUGAGUUGAGCUGCUAUAAACAUUGAUGUGGCUGUGUUACUAUAGUAUGAUGAUUUUAAAUCCUUUGUGUAUAAACCAAGGAGUGGGAUAGCUGGGUCAAAUGGUGAUUACAUUCCUAGUUUUCUGAGGAAUCUUCAUAUCCACUUUCCAUAAUGGUUGUACUAAUUUGCAUCCUACUCGCAAUGUAUGAGUGUACCUUUUCCCCUACAUCCUUGUUAACAUUUACUAUUGCUUGUAUUCUUCAUAAUUGCCAUUCUGAGUGGAAUAAGAUGAAAUCUUAGUUUUGAUUUGCAUUUCUCUAAUUGCUAGAGAUGUCGAACAUUUUUUCAUAUAUUUAUUGACCAAUUGUAUUUCUUCUCUGAAAUGUCUGCUCAUUUCCUUUGCCCAUUUAUUGAUUGGAUUAUUUGGGUUUUUUGGUGUUCUUCCCUACCCCACCCCCACUAUCCUCAGCCCUUUUUAUUUUAAUUUUAAUUAAUUUAUUUUUUAUUUAUAUAUGACAGUGGAAUGCAUUACAAUUCUUAUUACACAUAUAGAGCACAAUUUUUCAUAUCCCUGGUUGUAUACAUAGUAUAUUCACACCAAUUUGUGUCUUCAUACCUGUACUUGGAUAAUAAUGAUCAUCACGUUCCAUCAUCAUUAAUAACCCCUUGCCCCCUCCCUUACCCUCCAAUCCCUCUGCCCUAUCUAGAGUUCAUCUAUUCUUCCCAUGCUCCCUCUCCCUACCAUCCCACUAUGAAUCAGCCUCCUUAUAUCAAAGAAAACAUUCAGCAUUUGGUUUUUUGGGAUUGGCUAACUUCACUUAGCAUUAUCUUCUCUAACUCCAUCCAUUUACCUGCAAGUGCCAUGAUUUUAUUCUCUUUUAUUGCUGAGUAAUAUUCCAUUGUGUAUAUAUGCCACUUUUUUUUAUACAUUCAUCUAUUGAAUGGCAUCUAGGUUGGUUCCACAGUUUAGCUAUUGUGAAUUGUGCUGCUACAAACAUUGAUGUGGCUGUGUCCCUGUAGUAUGCUGUUUUUAAGUCCUUUGGGUAUAGACUGAGGAGAGGGAUAGCUGGAUCAAAUACUGGUUCCAUUCCCAAUUUUCUAAGAAAUCUCCAUAUUGCUUUCCAUAUUGGCUGCACCAAUCUGUUUUUUUUUAAUUGAAAAUCAAAAUAAAAACUUACCCUAGUGGUUUAAUACCAUAGAUUUUUACAUAAAAUUAUAGCCUCAUGGGUUCUUAAUUGGGGUUUGUGGAUCCUGUGGAAUUUGUACAUGGAUUUCCAUGGGGGCAUCUUGUAAAUUUCCUUAGUCCUUAUGGAAAAUUGUAGGCAAAGAUAUACUGUUUUCUCACAAUCUGGGAGAGAUUAGGAAGCACAAUUUUAGAUAAUUUUAAAUAAAAUUGUUAAUAAAUUUAUAGGCCAGCAUAAAUCUUAAAAGUAAUACAUGUAUUUUAUUCAUUUACUAGAAUUGCUUCUUAAUGAUAAUAUCAACUACAAACUUUAUAGAGUGCUAAAUUUUAUAUUGUCUAUUUGCCUUUUGCUAUAUAACUUAUUUUAGUUGUCCUAAAUUUUGCUUUUCUUUUUCAUAUCUUCUCAUAUGUUUGUUUUACCAGUUGGUGCAAAGACAAGUUUUGGAUAAUUCUAUGUUGGUAUUUUUACCAUUUUCUUUUCCUCUCUCUGAAUAGUUAUGUCUUUUUACACCCUCAAAACCAGCUUAGAUGCUAUAUUGAAUAGAGAAAGGAAUAAAGUAGUGAGCAUAUUUAAGACUUUUUUCCAUUGUACUUUAUGUGGCCUCUAAAUACUCAAUGUUGUUUUAAAACUAUGAAUACAGCUUUAAACAUAAUAAAAUGAUUUGUAUUGCUGCUCCUUUCUACAGAGGAAUUUAUUGAGAAGUAACAUUAACUUGAACUUCCUUAUUUAGUUUUUAAGGAGCCUCUGGCCAUUCAAAUUACUGCCAUAAAUCACUUCUAAAUUUUGAGUCAUUAAGAAAAUUAUUAAUUGAAUAUAUACUAUAUGACUGGCUUAGUAGUUAUAGGUUAAAUUAAUGGCAUAGUAUGGGUCUUAUAUUUCUUCUGCUUGUGGACUUUAUACAAUGUGUAUGGUCAAUAUAUAUUAUGAAAUAUUUAUUCUACAUUAUAUAAUAAUGUAGAAUACAUUCUACAUUAUUAUAAUUUAAAUAAAUAAUAAUUUAUUAUAAUAGUUAUUAUAAUUUAUUAUAAUAAUUUAUAAUAUUAUUCUACAUUAUAUAAUAUUUAUUCUACAUUACGUACUUGUAGAUGUUUAUAAUUGGAUCUUGGCUUUUUGGCAGAUGAAAUGCACACUGUGGCUUUGAAUUUAAAUGAAAUCUCAGUUUUAACAUUACUGCUUUGGGAUAUAUUUGGUGACUUACUCUUUCUAGGACUUUGUGGUCAAAAUUUGGGGCUAUCUAUAGUUUUAAAGAGAUUUAAGGAACAGAUCUGUUGAACUACUUACCUAUAGAUAAUUAUUAAUAUUGACCAUGUACUCAGAUUUUCAAGGCUUUGGGCUUUUCUUCAUUUGUUUCUCCUUUAUUUACUUGAUGACACAGUAGCUGACUACUGUGGAACAUCCAUCUUUCUUGGAGUCACAAAACAUGAAUCUUAGAAUUUUAGUUUUCAGAACUCACUUUUCUUAUUUAUCGACUAGAGAUGAUAAUACCUUAUUUACAAGUUAAUUGUAAAGCCUAAUGGAAUGUGAAAGCCUCAUUAUAUAAUAUUUGAUCAAUUAAUACUGAAGCCAAGAGCAAUGACCUUUUUUCUUUCUCCUUAAAAAACUGAGUUCUCUCAAUGGUCAAAUGUUUUCUCUCAUAUGUGCAAGCUACAGUAAAAUAAUGGAAAGUGGGAGGAAAGGGUAAGAUUAUAUAAAGAGCCAGUCAAACACAAAUUAAUAGAUGAGUAAAAAAGAAGUCUAGUACAGUAGUGGAAGGAGAAUCGGAAAAGGGAGGAAGGAUGUGAGGGAAAAGGGGAAGGGGAAAAGGGGAAAGGAAAAAGGAUGAGUCAUGAAUUGAAAUUGAUUCCCAUGUAUGUAUGUUUGUCAGGAUGAACCCAGCUAUUAUGUGUAACUAUAAAGCUCUAAUAAAAAAAAUGAGAAACAAAAACACAUAUGUUAUAAAACAUUGAAGAAAAGCUCAAAUAAAAUAAAAACAUAAUAAUAAAAAUUUGAGUUCUUUAUAGUUCAAUCUAAUCUAAAUAUCCUGUUUCACUGAUUAAAAAAUUUAAAGAGUUUUCUCAUAAGUAGUCUACCCACUGUGACCCUUUAUGUAAACUCUUAUCAGAAAAUUAUUGAAGUUGUAAAGUACUUCCAAUCAUAAAUAUUUUAUGCUGUGAGGAGUUUAAAACCAAUUAAGAAAAAGCCAUUUAAUUUUUAAAUGAGGAAACUGAGGCACAGAGAUCCUAAGUGACUCAUAUAUAGCUGGUUCUCCUUGUCUGUGGUUCCUCUUUAAAGGUACAGAAAUCUAGUUAGAAGAUUGGCAAGAUCACCAACUGAACAUUACAAACAGUAUUACUUCUAUUAUUUGUUGCUGUCUCUGUUGUUUGUUUUAUUCCCUCUCUGAGGUCCAACAUUUUGAGCAUAUUGAGUGGAUGCUCUGCUACUGAGCUAUACUCCCAGCGCAACUAAAGAGAAAUUUCAUCUUAUUCCACUUAUGACCCAGCCAUGCUAGAGCCUUGCUGGAUACUUCAACUUAAAGAAUAGGGGAGAUUAAAAAAAAUUCUGUAGAAAAUCUUACCAGUAGACUCAACCAGUGGAAGAAAGAAAGAAUAUAAGGACUUGAAGAUAAAGUAGAUGAAUUAUCACAUUCUAAGAGUAGUUAAAAAAUAAGAAUGAACAGAAUAUAUAAGAUAUAUGGGAUAGCAUUAAAAGACCAAACAUACAUAUAAUUGUAACAGAAGAGAGAAGAGAAUAAUGAAUUAAAGUCAUAGAAAGCCUAUUCACUGAAAUAAUAGCUGAAAAUGUCUCAAAUCUUGGGAAAGAUUCUGACAUCCAGGUACAGGAGGCAUUUAAGAUCUCAAAUAGACAUGAAGAGAAAAUAACUUCUUCAUGACAUAGUAAAGUUAACCUGCCCAAAGCACAGAACAAAGAGAGACUCUUAAAAGUUACCCAAGAGAGGAGCUGGGGUUGUGGCUCAGUGGCACAGUGCUUGCCUCAUAUAUGUUAGGCACUGGGUUCAAUCCUCAACAUCACAUAAGAAUAAAUAAACAAAAUAAAGAUAUUGUGUCCAUCUAUAGCUUAAAAAAAAGUUGCCCAAGAGAACUAUCAAGUCAUAGUUAAGUCAAACCCAUUAGGAUAACAGCAUAUUUUUCAACAGCAACUGUAAAGUCUGGAGGGCAAAGGAUAUGUUUUAAUAUUUCAAGUCCUGAGAGACAAUGGUUGCCAAUUUAGAUUACUAUACUCAGCAAAGUUAUCCUUCAGAAUCAAAGAAGAAAUAAAGAACAUUCAAGAUAAGUAUAAAUGAAGGGAAUUCAUGACUGCUAAAUCAGCAUUACAGAAGAUACUUUAAGGAAUCCUGCACCUAGAAAAGAAAAAAAAUAUAUAAAGACAAUUAUGAGAACAUGGAAAAGAACAAAUCUCUGUAAAAUAGUAGGAAAGCAAAUGAGAAUUAGGAAAGAAUCAAACAUUACUGAUAUAUUAAACCAUCAAACCUCUAAGAUGAACAAGGAAGGAAGAAAUGAACAUAGAAUAAUCAAAACACCAGAAAGAAAAAACAACAAAAUAGCAGGAACAAGUAUAUAUUUUUCAAUAUUAACCCUGAAUUUAAAUGGUUUCUAUUCUACACUUAAAAGACAUAGGCUGACUGACUGGAUUAAAAAACAAGACCUAACACUAUUCUGCCUUCAAGAUACUUACAUAAGUAACAAAGACAAGCACAGACUUAAAGUGAUGGGAUGGAAAAGUGAAAUCAUAGCAGACUAGCUGUAUUCAUGUCUGACAGGUCAUACUUUAAGCUAAAAUCUAUCAGAAGAGUCAAGGGAACAAUUCAUCUUUAAAUAUGUAUGCACUGCACAUUGAAUCACCCAAUUAUAUAAAAAAGCACUACUGGACAUAAAGAGAUAGGUAUUUAUUAAUUACCCCAAUUCUCACCAAUAGAUAGAAAAUCCAGACCAAAAAAAGUCAAUACAGAAAUCUCAGUGUUAAAUUAAACUAUAGUUAAUGGACUUAAUAGAUAUCUAUUGUAUAUGCCAUUCAGUAGCUGCAGAUUAUACAUUCUUUUCAUUAGCACAUGGAACUUUCUCCAAAAUAGAUUAUAUAGUAGGUCAUAAAGCAAGCCUUAAAAAAACUCCAUGCAUGAUACCAUAUUAUAAUGGAAUUAUAAUUCCAUGCAUGAUACCAUAUUAUAAUGGAAUUACAACAAGAAUAAUUGCAGAAAUUAUGCAAACAUGUUCAGAUUGAACAAUAGGAUCUGAAAUGACAAAUGGGCCAUUGAAGAAAUAAAAAAGGAAAUUUAAAAAUUUCUAGAAUUAAAUGAUAAUGGAAACAACAUACCAGAACUUGUGGGAUAUAGUGAAAGUAGUAAUCAGUGAAGUUUAUAGCUAAAAGUCCCUAUUGGGGGGGGAUUAAAAAAAAUCUAAUGAUGCAUCUCAAGAACUUAAAAAAAAAAAGAAAUAAAUUAAAACCCAAAUCAGGAAAAGGAAAUUAAUAAUAAGGAUUAGAGCAGAAUAAAAGAAAAUAGAGACUAAUAGAACAAUAAAAGGAUCAAUGAACAUAUAGUUAGUUCUUUAAAAAUGUAAACUAAAUUGACAAACCCUUAGCUAAACUAAAGGAAGGGAAAACCUAAGUGAAUAAAAUUAAAGAUGAAAAAGGGAUAUUAUAAUAAACACCUUUUAAAUAAAUUCAUUGAAUUAUUAAGAAUAUUUUGAAAAUCUUUACAUCAAUAUAUUUGAAAGUCAAAUUGAAUGAAGAGGAUAUUAAAAACCUAAAUAAGGCAUAACAAGCAAUGAGAUUGAAGUAGUAAUAGAAAUUAUACUGGGGCUGGGGAUGUGGCUCAAGUGGUAGCGCGCUCGCCUGUCAUGCGUUCGGCCCGGGUUCGAUCCUCAGCACCACAUACAAACAAAGAUGUUGUGUCCACCGAAAACUAAAAAAUAAAUAUUAAAAUUUUCUCUCUCUUUCUCUCUCUCUCUCUUAAAAAAAAAAAAAGAAAUUAUACCAACAAAUAAAAGCCCAAGACUGGAGAAAUUUACUGCUGAAUUUUACCAGACUUUUAAAGAAAAACUCAUUAAUGCUUCUCUAACUAUUCCAUAAAAUAAAAAUGGAAAGACUUUUUUUCAGACUCAUUCUACAAAGAUAGUAUUACUUUGCGACCAAAACCUGAUAAGAAUACAGCAAAAAUCUAUAGACCAAUGUCCUUGGUGAAAAUGGAUACAGAAAUCCUCAAUAAAAUACUUGCAAAUCAAAUUUAAUAGUAUUUUUUAAACCUCACACAGUUUGAUCAAGUUGAUUUUAUUCCAAGGAUACAAAAGGGACUGCUGUCAUAAUUUUUUUCUUCAGGAGUUAAUUAAACCUCAUCAAGCCUAAAUAAAUUAGGUAUAGGGGAAUCAUACCUCAACAUAAAAGGGCUGCAUAUGACAAAUCUAUAGCCAUCAUCACACUAAUGGGGAAGAAUGAAAGCAUUUCCUUUAAAAUCAGGAACAAGUCAAGGAUGUCCACUUUCUUCACUUUUAUUUAAUGUAGUACUUUGAAAUUUUAACCAGAGCAAUUAGGCAAGAGAAAGAAAACAAAAAGUGAUAAAAGGAGGAAGUCAAAUCGUUCUUGUUUGCAGAUGAUAUAAUUCUAUACUUAGAACACAUGAGUUCACAGAGAGACUUAGAACUUACAAAUUAAGCAAGGUAGCAGGAUGCAAAACCAAUAUAUAAAAAUCACUAGCCUUAAGUCAAACUCGGAAGGUCAAGAGUUGUAUGUUUUUUUCUCAUAUGUGGAAGGAAGCUAGAGAGGAGAAAGGAAAAGAAAGGUGUGUAUGCUGAUGCAUGGAGUAGCGGGGAUCUCAUGAAAAUCAAAGGGAGCUCAGUAGAGGAAAGGGACAAAGGGGUGAGAGGCUGGGAAGGCUUGAGGAAGUGCUAGAGAAUGAUAUUGGCCAAAUUAUAUUGUUAUAUUAUGUGCAUGUGUAAAUAUGUAACAACAAAUCCUAUCAUUAUGUACCACUAUAAUGCACCAAUAAAAAAUGUGGGGAAAAAAGCAGCAACAACAACAACAACAACAAAUCAGUGGCCUUUUUAUACACUGAUAAUUAAAUCCCUGAGAAAGAAAUUAGGACAGCAGUCCCUUUUGCAGUAGCCUCAAAAGAAAACAAGAAGAAAAAUAAAAGAAAUUGUAAAUAAAUUAUAAAUUGUUUUUGAAGAAUUAAUAUUGUUAAAAUAGCCAAACUACUGAAAUGGAUCUACAGAAUCAAUGUAAUUUCCAUCUUCUGAGACAGAUCUCAGAAGAAUAUAUGAAAAUGCUCAAUUCCUUAACCAUUAGGAAAAUGUAAAUUAAAACUACAUUAAGAUUCUGUCUAAGAUUCUGUCUUAUCCCAGUCAGAAUGGCUAUUAUAAAAAUUUUUAAAAUACCAAAUUUUAGAAAGGAUGUGGAGGAAAAUGAACCCUUAUACAUGGUUUGUGACAAUGUAAAUUAGUAUAGCUACUACAGAGAACAGUGUAGAGGUUCCAUUAAAAUCUAAAACUAGAACUACCAGGUGAUCCAGCUUCCCACUGCUGGGUAUAUCUUGGAAGGAAAUAAGUCAGCAUAAAAUAGAGAUAACCUACAUACCUUUGUUUAUUGUAGGACUAUUCAUAAUAGUUAGGAUAUAGAAUCAUUCUAGCUUCCUGUCAAAAGAUGAAUAAAGAAAAUACGGUUUAUAUACUCCACAAUGGAGUAUUAGCCAUAAAGAAAAAUGAUUUUUUUUAAUUUGCAGGAAAAUGAAAGAAUUUGAGGUCAUGAUGUUAAGUGAAAUACAAAUAUCCCUUUUUCUCUCAAAUGUGAAAACUUUAUCAGGGAAAGGGAAGAAAUUGGAUUGAGGGAGAGAGAAGAGCGGGCAAGAGAGGGUGGAAGGAAGGAUAGAUAUGAUCUAAGCAUGAUUAAUGCAUAUAUGGAAAAGUCACAGUGAAACUGAUUGAUUUGCAUAUUAAUAUGCAUUAGUAAUUAUAAUAAAAUGAGAUAGAAGUGAUAGAAAUUUAGGGGAACCUUAAGAAUAUGUGAUAGAAAUUUAGGGGAACCAUAAGAAUACAUGUCUACUGGGGAAGGUUGUCUCUGAUUUUUUUUAUCUACCUUUGUCUAUUUGUCCCUGAUGCUCUAAUUACAAUAUUGUAAUUUAGAUAACUAAACAGAAAGCAGUACCCUUUCAUUAUUUGUAUUGGCUCUCAAAAUAAUGUUGGCUAAAUUCCAAUGUUGAGAAAGAGUGGCAAGGGAAAGAUGAGUGGCUCAAGAUUUAGGAGGAGGGAAGUACUGUGUGGUGUGAACCCAGACUUUCUCUGACAUGAAUGAUUGGAUGAAGGGUUUUCACAACUUACUUUUGUUGAAAAUUUUUUUUGUUAUGCUUUAGUUUCUUUGAAAUAAGUUCUAAUCUAUGAAAAUAUUGCAUUUACAAAACUGAAAAUUUACCCAUUUCUUUGGAUACUUGUUUAGACAGUAAAAACUUUUGUUGUUUGGUUUUAUCCUCUCUAUAAAAUUGGCAAUAAUGAUAAAAGCCAAUUAACAUCAACUAUAUAAUAUAUAUGCUAUAUGCCCAGCCCUGUGAUUCAGAUAUUUUUGUGUUAGAUUGUAACUAUUCUAAUAUAUUUUUAUAUUAUAACUAAUCAUGAAAUUCUGAAGAAUAUAUUAAUCACAUCCUAGUUUUUAAGAGAUGAUACCUCUAGGUGUCAAUUAUAAAAUUGGUUUUGUUUUGGUUAUUAUUUCUCAAAGGAAAAAAAUGAAAAAGCCUGAGUUGUUUUUAUUAUGUUACUGUAAAUAACUAAAGUGUGAUGAUAAUCAUGGUUUAGAAAGAACUGAAUAUGUAUUCGAGAAACACUAAAUGUGUGUUGGUGAGCUCUAACCUUUGGACUUGACUGGAUUAGACAUCUUUACCACUUAACUCCAUCUCUUUAUAAAACUCUUUAUGUUUUCCUCUUGUAUGUAAUAGGUUCCAGGUUUGAUAACCAUGGGAACACUGUCAAGACUGAAAUCAUGUGUGUUCUAUCACUUUUAAGGCAGCCCUCUCUUUAAUUUCACAAGACAGGCUUGAAAACCAGAAGUAACCCAACUCCAAAAUUGGCAGUAAAUCCUCCGACAGGGAAAAGGUGACGUACUGUGUAAUAAAUUCCUUUGUUGAAAAGGAGAUGUUGCAAUACUGGAAACUGAAGUACCAAAUGUUUCCUUUUAAAUUUGGAAAGGUCUUUCUUCAUUACUUAUCUGUCCCAAUGGACUUCUAACAGGGGAUGUGUUGAAAGAGUUUUCAGAUGCCCACUAACCACAGUGAGAGUGAAUGGCAGCAUUUAUAAGAUGACAUAAAUACUUCAAAAUCAUCAGUGAUCCUUGGAGAUGUAUGGUGUGCCAGUGGUACUUACUGAAUGUGGGCUUUUGUUGCUGCUGAUCCUGAGCUCUUGUGUGCAGCCAUCUGGAAAUAUGGAUGUAUCUCUUCUAUGAAUGCAAUUUCACUUUUUUCCCCCUUUGGGGGCUCUUAUAUCAAAAUUAAAGUUAGAGUGGUUUGUAGAAGAAAUAAAGUCUGCCAAAGAGGAGAAAGAUCUGUGAGAUUAUGAGUUAUUCUUUAAAAUCCUAAUCUCAUUUUGAGGUCCUGUGGAGGAAUUAUAUCAUACUUCUUAACCAUUUUAACACUAAAUUAAAAUCUUGACACAAUAUGAACUUUUAUUUUUUAUUUUGUAAUAGUGUGACUGAUACCACCACUGAUAUUAUCAUGACAUGAAAUAAAGAUAAAGAUAAAAAUGACUGAAAAUGAUUAAUGAGGAUAAAUGUUAGCCAAAAGUUGCUAAUUUUUGUUGCUCUAUCUUUAUUCAAAAGCUUUUCAGUUUGUUAUUUUUACCUUUUAGACCUAUACAUGACUUGACAGUAUGAUUUUACUAUGCUACUCCAUUACCUAUAUUUAAAUGUCUUAAUUUAAAGAUUUUGUCAUUAGCCCUGAAGUAAAAAGACAGAAUUCCUAGUGAAAGUCAGAUGAGGGAAAGCCCUUUGGCAUCGGUUCACAGUCACUGUUACAAACUCAUGCCCUCCAGAUACAAGUAAAGUACAUGGGACCACACCAUUAUGCACAUCCUGCCUCACCCCUUCCUGUUUUGCCUUAAGAGAAAAUAUUGUGAAUGCAAGAGUGUCUUAUUAAAGUUGGGCAUUAAACCUGUUAGGAAUAAACUACAAGCAAAAAUCAUGUAUCCACAAUCCCUGAAUAACCUCAGUUAAAAAUUUUUGUUGCUAGACUAAAAGAAAUCUUUAUCAUAUUAUUCAUUUCAUUUUGGUAAUGGGAGGUUUAUCCAGGUAGUCCUUUUGACCUUCACAUAAAAGCUUUGUUUGCUUUGUAGCAAGGCCUUCAAAAUUACAGUCAAGGAAUAAACUCCUUAUCAAUUCUGUUCUAGCUUAUCAAUUCUGUUCUAGGAUCUCAGGAAUGAUUUUUAGGCUAGUUGGGAAUCACCUUGUGCUAAUAAAAGGAAAAUACAGAGAUUAUGAUGAGGAGAGAAAGGAAAAUAAUAGAAAAUAAUUAUCAUUAGGUAGCCAUUAUCCUCUUUAUAAUAUAUAUUUGGUACUUACUAUGUAACCAGUCCCAUGCUAAAUGCUUUAUUUGCAUUGUAUUAUGACAACCCUAUGAGGUAGUUGAUACCCCUAACUCCUUUUUAUAGCUGGGAUGUUAAGUAAAGAGUCCCAAAGUCACUCAAUGAAAUUCAAACAAUGCCUAAGCUAUCUUCUAAAUAGAACCCUGCUGCUUGACUCAGGUAUUUCAGAUUUCUUCUUUAUUGAAUAUUCAAAAGCUUUUUGUAAUGUAAGCCCAAGUAUUCACUAGAAAAAUGAUGACAUUUUUGGAAACAUCUAGAUGAGAAGAAUAAAGAUAUUCUUUUAACUCUUAGGGUUUCUUUAGGGUGUUGCUGACUUUUUUUCUGGAUUAUAAAACAAACCCACAAACAGAUGUUCUAAAGAUGGCCUCCCUGAAGUGGUAUCACAUGCCUUAGAGAAGCAGUCAUUCUUUAGAUGGAUAAAAAGCUCUCUUAAAUAUGUAAGACUCCCUUUUUCAGACAACCUAAAGUAUUUAUUUUAACCAAAUUAUUCUCUUUCAUUCAAACAAAUUAAAAAUAAAUUGUGUUGUCAGAAGCAAUUAAAAUGUAUCUUGGGUACUCCCUUACCUCCCCAAAAAACCUCAGUAAAAUGAAAUGUUCUCAGACCAAAUGAUCUUUUUCAUUUAUUGCUAUGAAUACAUGAUCUAUUUCAUGUAUUCAUGUUAAGUACAUCUACCUACAUAAGCUUAUAAAAAUUAUAUUUUACUCAACACAAAGUUGCAUAUUUGAGCUGGAUGAAGUAGCUAAAAUGAAGUAGCUAGAAAGAACCUUCCUUUAGUAUAAAGUUUUCUGAGACAUAUUGUUUCACUAGCAAAAAGCUAGUGAAAUAGAUUUAGAACGCGUUUGGCCCCAAAUGUUCACUGAAGGAUGAAUGGAUAAAGAAUAUGUGAUACAUACAUAUAAUGGAAUAUUUUUUAGCCUAAAAAAGUCAGGAAAUUUGGAUAGAUCCUAGAGCAUAGAUGAGCUUUGAAAACAUUGUGCCAAGUGAAUUAAGGAAGUUACAAAAGGAAAAAUACUGUAUAAUUUAUUUUAUCUGAGGGACCUACGUAAAGUAGUCAAAUUCAUAAAGACAGAAAGAAUGGUGGCUGCCACAAAUGAGGAAGAGAGAAAUGAGAAAUUAGUGUUCAAUGAGCACAGUGAGAAGAUGGUUUCCUAAAGAUGUGAAUGUAUUUAAUGCCACUGAACUGUAUACUUAAAAAAUGAUUAAAUGGUAAUCUUGUAUUAUGCGCUAUAAGAAUACAUGUGGCCUUAAAAAAGAAUUCAGUUAGAGUGGCAAAACCAAUGGGAUUUUUAAAUUAAAAAACAAUGUCAGGGGGCUGGGGUUGUGGCUCAGUGGUAGAGCACUGGCCUAGCACAUGUGAGGCACUGGGUUCGAUCCUCAGCACCACAUACAAAACAAAACAAACAAAAACACAAUGUCAUGUAGCAAGAUACCGGGAAAAAGAUUGAGGCUACCCAGCAAUUUGGUCUAGUCCCUAUGUCUGUGUGGUUUUGUCCUGCCUUCCUCACAGGGGAAUCCUUUAGAUUUAUGUGUACUAUCACUUGAUCACAGGAUGGCUGUUGUGCUUCAAGUUUAGCUAUGCAAGUACAGGCAUGGAGAUUUGGUUUUAGACAGAUAUGGCAGACAUUAAUUUAAUGUUCCCUGCAAAUCCAUGUACUCCCUCAAAUAUUUCACUGCUCUCUUGCAGUUGCCUGAGUACAUAUAAUGCUAUUUUUGCUUAGUCCUAGAAUAGAAAUAAAAUGUGUCACUUCCAGGCUAAAUUAUCAAAAUAGCCCUGGGGGUCCCUCAUUCUCUUGGAGAAGUAUAUAAUCCAAGUAGUGCAUUUACAAGAUGUUGGAACUUUAGUCUCCCUAGAUUUGUUUCUGAGUACGUAUGUGGAGCAAAUCUGUCAGGUGACCCAUGUGUGACCUAUAGCAUUAAUCAGAAUGUUUAUAUUUUUGUUAUGUUAAGUCAUUCAGGUUUUGAAGUUGUUUGUUUUUGCUACUGAGUAUAGCUAUUCUGACUGAUACUCUUUUGCCUGGGCCACAUCCCAAGCCCUAUUUUGUAUUUUAUUUAGAGACAGGAUCUCACUGAGUUGCUUAGUGUCUCGCUUUCACUAAAGCUGGCUUUGAACUCAUGACCCUCCUGCCUUAGCUUCCUGAGCCUCUGGGAUUACAGGUGUGCAUCACUGCUGGCCAGACAGGUUUGAUGAAACUUGGGAAUAUGGAACCUUUCAGGAGUAGAGGAAUAGAUGUAAAUUGAAGAAACAUGGAAUUUUAGCUGGAUAAGAACAGAGGUGAGGAUCAAAGUAGGGCAAGGAGUAGUUAGAAAGCAGUAGAAUAUACUGAACUACAGUUUUUGGUGAGGUGGAGGCAAUGUCAGGGUUUGAUUGCUAAAAAGGGUAAUAAUGAUAGAGAGGAGCAGUAGAAUGAUUGCAUUUGAGAUUACAAGGAAUUAAUGUUACUGCCAAUGACAUUGUUUUGGAAGUGAAUUUAUGAGGUAGUGUGGCUAAUUUGAGAAGACAUCAGAGAACCUGUAAAACAAAGUAUUGGGAGAAUCAUCUAAAUGAAUAUUAAAAUAAGCAGGAGUUAUGACAAGGAGUAGUAUUGGGUGGAACAAAAGUGAGCCAGAAGCUAAAAUCUCUAAAAAUGAGUUGUUCUUUAUUAGUCUGAAACUGUCUAUAGUCACCUUCAUUCUAGAAUGUUGUUUAACUGAUUCCAGGUUGACACUUUUUUUUUUCUGUUUGUUUUUUGCCUUUGUAUCUUUAAGAUUUUGGUCUUUUGGCUUCUUUUGUUGCUUGGAGAUACUGAAUUAUCAGUUUCACUAAAUUUUUUUGUACUUCUUUGGAGAUUUCUUUUCUUUAUGAUUAGUUUUUAAUAUUUUUCUUGUUAUCUUUGGUCUAGAGCUUCACUAGGAUACAUCUAAGAAUGUAUUUGUUUUUAUUUGUAUUCUUUGGAAUUCUGUGUGGAUCUUCAGUUUAAGGAUUUACUGAUAACUUAAAUACUGGAAAAUUCUUAUUCAUUACCUCUUAAGUGUUAGUGUCCCCUUCUCCAUUUAUUUUCUUCUCUCUUUAAAAAUAGCUAUUAAUACAUUAGACAUUCUCAUUUUGUACUUAAGGGCUCUUAACUACUUAUUUUCCUUUUAUCAUUCCAAACUGCUUCUUAGCAUUUCUUCCAUGGAACUAUCUUCUAGUUCUUUUCUUGAGCUCCAUCUAAUUUAAUGCUUGGUACAUGCAUUGAGUUUUAAACAAUCUAUGUAUUUUUAAAUUUGAGGAGAUCUAUUAGAUGUCUUGAAAAAUCUAGACACCUCCUAUGCCCUUACCUGUUUUGAGGCUUUGUUUUUAAAAUUAUGAUCAUGCUUCUUCUUCUUUUUUUUAAAAAAAAUUGCAUUGCAGAUUAUUUAAUUAUAGGGAAACUAUGAUCUAUGGGCCAAAUCUGGCACAGGGCACUGAUGCUUUUAAUUUUUAAGUUGUAAUUGUUAUUACAUAUUGAUUGUACAAAAUAAUGGGUUUUGUGACAAUUUCAUACAUGUUUAACAUACUUUGUGUCUACCCUCCCUUUUACCUUUAAUUACCCCCCUCCUCUAUCCACGUAUGACCCAUGAGCUAGGACUGAUUUUUAAAUUUUAAAAGAUUUGUUACAAAGAGAAGGGGACAGAGAGAAGAUUUGACAAACAUAGAUCACAUAUAACUGAAAAAAGUUAAAUAUUUACUAUUUAGCCCUUUACAGAGUAGUUUGGCAACCUCUGUGCUGUUAUUUGCAAUUAUGGGUAUAAUAAUCCUUUUUUUUUCAUAUGCUCAUUCUCUCAUAUUGGGUGUGUGUGUAUAUGUUUUGGACAGUGUGUUGGAGAGUGUUGCAAUAUUUUAUUGAAAGUUCAUCUUCAGUGAGGGCUAUGAAAGGUUAUGGAUCCUCACAAACAAUGAUAUAGGAUAUAACGGCAUUUUUAACAACAGGAAGCACAUUGGAAGAGAGCGAGCUAUGAAACUGGGCUGAGUUGCAAUUAAGAGGAGGUGUCUUGGCUAUAGAGAAUGUUUCUUAGAGUUCUGUGAGAAUAAUGUCUAGGGUUCUUGCUGAGUUCAGGGUUUUCAUCUGAAUCCCUGAAUCAGGGAACUAGCAUCUGGACUGGCCAGAAUUAAGAGUUGUGUGAGUACUCAAUAACCAAACAGGUCUGAUAUCUUUGGGGAGGUCUAACAAUAUGUAGGAGCAUGCCUGCGAACUACUUUGGGUCUAGUAUAGAGUAGGAGCUCAAUAAUGGAUUGUUGAAUGAAUGAAUAGGGAAAGAAAUGAAGGUUAGACACACAUUUUGGGGACUGACAAGUACCAGACUGGUGUCCAUAGCCAAUCUUUGUCAUAGACUACUAUCCAGAUACGAAGAAUGUGGAGAAAUACCUCUAGUACUUAUUCUAUAGAUCUCCUAGGAUUUUCUACAUAAACAAUUAUAUCAUCUGCAAAUAGGAAUCGUUUUAUUUCUUCAUUUCUAAUCUUUAUGCCUUUUAUUUAUUUUUCUUGGCUUACUACAGUGGUUCCAAUCUCUAGUUUAUUGUUGAAGAGAUAAAACAGGGAACAUUACCUUGUUUUUGAUAUUAGGGAGAAAGAAAUAAUUAAACAUGAUGUUAACUGCGGGAGUUUAUUCUUUAUUUCUUUAGUACUUCAUUUUAGAGACUUGUUCAGAUUCAACUGUAAUCGUUUUUGUAGUUGACAAGACUAUAUAGGUUCAAUUGUGUAGCUCCAUGAAGCCAGGUUGUAUCCUUUUAUAAUAUUAUCAAUCAUUAAUAUUUGUUGUCUAUUACAUUACAGGUUACAAAUACUUAUUCUGUUGAUUUAUGCUUCAUAUAUUACCUGGGACAUUUCUGUAGAGGAAAUUUUCUUUCAUAAACUCUUUGGUUACCUGGCUGUGUAGUUCCUAUAGGAAGGACUUAGAAGUGCUUGAUUAUUUUCUUUAAUUUAACAGUUUUCAGAAUGGUCAGUUGGUUCUAUAGCAUCCUCCAAAGAUAACUAAGGCUUUUAAAAACACAAAUUAUGAAUUUGCUGUCUGUUUCAAUUCAUUAGUUUGUCAUUCAAACAAGUGUGUACUUUUCUAAGUGCUUUCAGAACUUGGUUUUCAUCACUUUUUCUCUAGAUUUGUUGUCAGAUCUUUGUUACAUGUAUAAUCCAUGUUUCCUGCUAGUAUGUAAGAAUAUAAACAUAUUUCAUCCUAUAUAAAUAAAGACAAAAAGAGGAUGUAAUGAAAGAUUUCUAAUAUCUGUGAAUAAAGAAUGAGAUUUUUGCCUUUCAGUCACAUUUCAAUUCUGUGUUAACAUAUUUUAACAAACUUUGGAAUUUUGUGGGUAAAACCACAGAAGUCAAAUUUUCUUUGUUUGAAAUCUGUAGGAGAAUAAGGUUUUGGUGUCUUGGCUGUUAUGUUAAAAGUAAUAUAUUUCAGAGAACAUAAGUCAUAAUUUUAAGAGUUUAUUAGUAAAAGUUAAUCAUUGGAAAACCCUAUAUAUUCCUAUGUAACAACAGGGGAAAACUGUCUCCCUGACACAUAUUGUGUAGUUUUAUGUAAUGUUAACUUCAUGUGGUUUAGCUGUUUGACUUGAAGCACGUGUACAUAACCUUCUGAACAUUCAUUUAACGUGUAGUAUGCCAAUUUCCUAACAAUUAUUAUUGUCUUAAAGUAUAACAUUUCACUGUUCAACAUCAAAUAUGUGCAACAAAGGGAAUUAAAAUUUGUGGAGUUUCAUGAGCUUCGCAUAAUGUCUCUAUGUAGUAAGUGUCAAACAUGUUUUUUCCUAUUAGCUUUAUUGUCAUCUUUUUCUUGUUUAUAUAAAUAAUAUUCUAAAAAUUAACAAAAUAUCAAUUGCUAUAAUUCUUUCCACAAAGUUGUGUAUUAAAUUACAUAUUAGAUCUUCAUCUAAGUAUAGAUGUACACAAAGAAAUAUUUAGAUCUUUAGGUGAUUAAAAAAAAACCUUUGCACUUUUAUGAACUGUUGGUAUUUUUGGUAAUGAGUGUAUGUGGUGUAUAUGCAUAAUAUACACACAUGUGUGUCUAUAUAUGUGCAUGUAUAUAUAGGGAAGGAGAUAAAGGAAGAGAAGAGGAGGAGAGGUAUAUAAAUAUAUAUAUAUAUAUAUAUAUAUAUAUAUAUAUAUAUGUGUGUGUGUGUGUGUGUGUGUGUGUGUGUAUGUGUAUAUAUAAUAUAAAGAAAAUUUCUGAAAUGAAAGGCUUAACAAUUACAGAUAAUAUUUCUUAUGGAAAACUGUUGUUGGUGCCUAAAGUCCAUCACAAUACAUGCUAUCUAAAGACAGUACUAGUAUCAUAUCAGUUUGUGUUUGUUUAAAUAUAUGAAAUUAAGAAUUUUUAGCCAUUUAAAAAAUAGGUUGUUUUAUUUAAUAAUCUUAGUUCACAUUUCUUUUUGAUUGCUAAGAACACUCUCUCACAUUUGUGUGUGUAUGUAUGUGUGUGUGUGGGGGGUACAUAUGUGCAGAUCAGUGACUUGGAUAAAUACUAUAUUGUCCCUGGUUCUGUUUGGGAAUCUGAGUGGAUCUUGGAAAUACUCUAUCUUUUGCUGUGAUUUUUUUUUAUUUUAAAGGAUAGAGCUGAGACAUGUUUCUCUUAUAGUCUUCUUAGAUGCUUAGAUCAUUUGUUGCCUUUGUUAGGUGAAUAAGUGGAGGACUUGAUUUUCUAAUACACUAACAAUACUUUGUACAGGAAUCCACUUUAAAAGAAAGAAAAACACUUUAAAAGAAAGAAAACUUUGUAAAGAUCUUAUGCAUCUAUUGCUCUUGUUUGGGUCAGAGAUACUGAUACUUUAAUUAGUGAAAUUUUGUAUGUAAGAAGUCUUUCAAGUGGCAUUCAGUAUUUCUUUUAAAGUCUUGCUCCCCCAAUAUUUUUCAAAGUAAACUUUUAAAAAUUUGUAUUUUUAGGAGCAAGAAAGGCUCUUUUUUCAUAAAUCUUUAAUUAGAACUCAUAAUCUACAAAUUCUUUUGUCUUUGUGUUAAGGUAGUUUCUAUUUUAACAGGUAGAAACUGUACUAGAAUUCUAGGCAGCGACACCCUUAUCCCUAUACCUGCCCUUACUUAAGUGUCUGAAUGGUCCAAGUUCAUCUCAGGGUUAAAAUGUACUUUUUUCUUUAGAACCACAGAGAGAAUCCCAGAAAGUUAUGUAAAUCACUGUAAGAAAGAUAUAAAAGUGCUCUUUUAUUGCAUCCACUCUAUUGCUAUUGAUGUGUGAUGGCAUUGUAGUAAAAAGUAGGUAGGGGUGGGAUUCAGACUGCCCCUGGCUGCCUACAUCUCUCCCUUUACACCCUGGCAAGUGGGGUAUUAGAAGGAAAAUGACUGAUGGCCAUAGUGACCAUUUACUGACUAUGAGACAAAGGCCAACUGAAUGCAAACAAAUAAAUAUAAAAUGGGAUCAUUUUAGUCACCCAAGAGUGGGAAUGAGACAAAAUCACGAGCCACUCAAGCAGGAACAAACUUUAUUUUUGAAACUGCCGCCAAUGCCCCGUAUGCUCCCGGGAAGAUUGCCGACCGACCCACAUGGUGUUCUCCCGGACCCCAACAGGAAGUCCCUCCUCCGGAAUUCCCUCCUACCGCACUUCCCCAACCAAUGGGAACUCUCCAGGAGUCCCGUAGCAGGCCAAGGUGGACAGCAGGAGUCCAAUAUCCAUAUGAAUGCAGAUCUUAACAUAAUCAUAUCAUCUCAAUGGCUUGCUGGUGUUACCUUUCAACCAAAAAUGCCAUGCAUCAUAUUACUUGGCUGUGGCUCUUAGCAACAAAACUCUAGGAAAUUUCUAGAUGGAGAAUCUGUGUUCCUGUAUUAUGCAAAUUAUUGCUAUGAAAAGAGUUUUCCUUUAUUUUCUUUUGAGAUUAGACAAUCAUCUGUUUCUUUAAUUUCUUCUGGUUCUCAUUACUGAAAUUACCAGGUUGCUCAUAGACAUCAUUUCAUCCCUCACUGAGUUGUUCUACAAUGUGACUACUUCUUAAGUGGUGUACAAGGUUGUUUUAAUGCUAGUGAGACAAGCAGGGUGUUCAAUACUACUUUUCUUCAACUGUUGUUGGUUUCCUUGGACUUCUAGGAUGUGGAGAGCAUCUUGUGCGCACCAUACUGGCUAGAGAAUGUUCACAUGCUUUACAAGCUGAAGAUGCUCACCAAGCUCUGUUGGAGACUAUGCAAAACAAGUUUAUCAGUAAGUAUAAUGUUAAGA
rnacentral:lncRNA from 1 species